rnacentral:lncRNA from 1 species
AGUUGAUCCAAGUAUCUUGCAUCCUCGUAUCUAUUUUGCCUUUUUUUUGUAAUGCCAUUGGUCAUUUGACUUCUUAUGCAUGUAUAACAGGCAUUGGUGGUGGACAAGUGGUGAACAAGACGCGCUCAUGGUGGAAACGAUGGAGACAGCACAUAAGACGAUUAUUCAGUGCGCUCGUGGUGGAAACGAUGGAGACAACACAUAAGAGGAUUAUUCUGUUAGAUGUAUUGGUCGAGCAAGGUAAGCUUAACCUCUGCAUGCAAGUUGAGGCACCUGAACUGUUAUUUUACGAAAAUGUUUCACUUUAAUUUUAUUUACCAUUUCUCAAGUACCAAAUUUCAAGAGAGCACUCUAUGAUUCUCUCUACAACCCUUUGCUCAACUAUUGCCCACCAAGCAGUCUCCUAUCAUGCUUGCAUGAAUCGCUGUCUUCUCAUAGAUGAUGUGUCUGCCAUGUUAAGUUGUGGCAGAAUGAAAUUCUUCCUGUGUCCCGCACUUAGUGAAAAACAUGAAAACACUUUCUUCAUUGGUUGUUCUUGUAAGUGGGUGCUGGUAGAUUGUCCAGUUGCACUCUAUUUGAGUGACAAUUAGGAUGUGAGUGAGCGUUAUCUGGUCACUGGAGUGAAAUCGGCUAGUAUAACGAGUAUCUUCAUGUCCCCUUGGUACAAAUAUCUGAAUGGAUCAAAUAAUAUCCUUUGUACUGAAAUUUCUUUUGUGAUAAAUAAAAGUUCGAUGGACCAUAUGUUUGCAUCCUUAUCAUCUUCUUUCAUACAUUCACACUUCCUCUAGGUUUUUUAAUAUAUUAUAAAUACAUCUGUAUAGGCAAUAAAUGUUCAUGAAAAAAUGCCUAAUGUGCUAUAUAUACAGCUUGAGUGAAGAUCUAAAAAGAUCAAUUGCCAUAUCUGCUGGCAAACUGAUUAUUACUGUUUGAAGUACAACAAAGGAAAUUCAGCAUUGCUAAGUACUAAUUCAUGUACUACUGCCUGCUAGCGUUAUUAUUCAUUUCACCCCUGAAAUUGGCUUGGUGAUUUUAAAUUUAGUAUAACUGAGUCUAGCUAAACAAAUCUUGAGUAGAGAAACGCCUAAUAAGCUAUAUUUGCAACAUGACUUUGAACAACACUGAAACUCGAACAGCUGAUAGAUCAGUAAGCCUUUUUUCCCACUGGCAUUAGUGAACAUCUGUGGAUGAACAAUGUCGAGGCGUCGAGCAUGAUUGGUUGGUAGCCAAUAAUUUGCUGGCCAACAUUUUCGCAUGCCAAAAUAUUGCAACACCCAAGAUUUGCCUGUUUUUGGCAAAUUUUGUGAGAUGGUCAAAGUAAGUUGGUGACCAACCAAUUGGUAGCCAAAUUUUUGUCUUGCCAAAAUGUUGGCUGGCCAAUUUUUGGUAAUCAACCAAUCAUGCUCUAGGACAAUCAAAUUUUGAUUGUGCCCUUGGUUGGCCUAUGCUUGCAUUGAUUAUGUUAUGUUAUAAUUGGUUAGUGUUUUCUCUCUCCUUUUUUGCUAUAGUUCGAUUAGCAUGAUUAGUAGCUGAUUCAAGUUGUACUGUUUUCACGUCACACUCCUUCUAGUUGUAUAUACCCACAAAGCUGUUUGAUGUAUACAAGUAUUUCGGCUCCCCCUCUGUUCUCUGUGUUUAGGUGUUAUACCCACAAAGCCGGUAGCAUAUGCUUGGUUACCUCCUUGUUCUCUGAAUUACUUGCUGCCAGUUUGUUGGCGUUGGAAGUGAAAACCUUAGUUUUAUACGGAGUAUUUUAUACAGUAUGAGAGCUUAUGUAGUUGUAUCUCAGAAAUAUUUUGUGUGGAUGAUUUUCACAUAUGUAAUCAUGCCUCGGCUACAUAUAUGGUUCUAAUCAUCUUUCACCUUACCACGCCUUUUCAGGUCGGCGGCAUGAUGCUUCGUGUGCGAUAACCACUUCGUAUCUGGUGAAAUCUCAUUUGGUUGCGUUACUACAUAAAUAUGGUUGCCAGACAUAUUGCUGUGCCUAUGGAAGUGACGAUAGACGUAUUACACGAACAUGUGUGUUCCUAUGACACUGCUCGUCAGGUUUUUCCUAUGUACUGUAUCUCGAGGAUUGGCUGAAUUGCCAAUGUGUAUGCGGAUAUCUGCGGACGGUAGAGGGAAUAUAUCGUGAUGUCUUUUCGGGAGGGGAAUAUAGUGAUUAGUACUGGUAAGCAAUUGCUUUGCCCAUUGUUUUACCUGCCCCGCAUGAUGACAUGCGCGGAAGCACAACUUCGCGCUCCCUGCGUCGAUUGCGUGUUGUAUCAGGCCAGGAGAUUUUGGCGUCAGGUUUCUGCUUAUGUUCCAUGAUACCGCUUGCCCCUUUUGUGCUUGUCUGUGCGUGUGUGUUUGUGCUGAAUCUAGAAUCUGAUUCCGAGCUCAGUAUCUAGAAUCACAGUGGUUCUGAUGUGUGAAUUGCAUCAGUAGUCUGACCUGGGAGCUGUGAAGAAGCUCCUGUAUGUUGAAUUGCAAUUUGCACCUGUCUUAAAUAAAAUGUCUCACUCCUCCCUCUCAAAGCAAGAUGAAUAAUCUGGCUGUAGUGAACAAGUCAGGGAUAGGUGAAUCAAAGCCAAGGAAAUAUUAGCAUGGAUUGCGUCUACACAUCGAUGACUGCCUUUGCUUUAGGAUGUUAAAAGAGAAAAAAUCACUACAGGUCCUCAUAUUUGUCGCGUUGGCCGCACUUCUCCUCGUACUUGAAAUUACCCAAAAUACAUUCCUACAACUUGUCUCAGGUGUCUACGGUCCAAAAUAUCAUUUCCUCUACGUAUCUGCUGACUUGGCGGUUGAUUGGCGCGUCCACAUAGGCUUUGACUGCCAGCUCUUCACCAGACACCCCCCCCCCCUGGGCGAGGGAAUAAGAGGUUUUCUUUUUUGGAAAAACGACGAAUUUACGUUUGCCCCCCCCUGCCUGGUUGGACCGCGCCUCACCUGGCCGCAUCUCUACACACCCACCUGGUCGGAUCGACCACACGACACCACCUGGUCGGACCGACCGCACUGCACCGCACCUCUCCACACCCACCGCACCGCACCUCUCCCCUCUCCUCUCCCGUCUCGAACCCUAGUCGCCGUCGCCGCCUCCGCCGCCAUCGCCGCAGCCACCACCGCCUGGAUCUGCUGCCACCUCUCGUCGAUGGCAUGUCAUCUGCGAGAUCCUCCCGCUCCUGUGUGCACUCUGGUCUGUGUGGCGGCUCUAUUGAGGUGCCACUGGUCGGAUGCCCCGAUUGUGGCGAACCUAUCAAGUGCUACCGCUCUAGCACGGAUGAGCAUGAUGGCUGAGUUUUCUACAAGUGCACCCACGAUAAUGUAAGCUUCAGUCUUUUUCUGUUCGAUUCAUGAACCUGCCAUGUUCAGUAGCCAUGCUGUGCUCAGUAGCCAUGAUGGCUGGGUUAACUAGCUGUGAUAUGCUUAGAAGUUGAUACGUCUCCAACGUAUCUAUAAUUUCUGAUUGUUCCAUGCUAUUAUAUUACCCAUUUUGGAUGUUUAUGGGCUUUACUUUACACUCUUAUAUCAUUUUUGGGACUAACCUACUAACUGGAGGCCCAACCCAAAUUGCUGUUUUUUUGGCUACUAGAACAAUGCCCGUGCGUUGCAACGGGAUAUAAAUAGUUUACUACGUUAGCUUGUAAUUUCCCUGUCCAUAAUAAUGUGAUUGAGUAAAUAAAUGUUCAUUAAAUUCUGCCGUGAAAUUGAUCAGAAGUUUGGUAAGUAAAUUAAAGUGGAAUUGAUUCAGAAGGUAAGUAAAUUAAGUCGAUUGAUUAUCAUACUUGGAAGGUUGGACGAAGGGGUGGUGUGAAGAAAGGUGAAAUGGAAACCUUAGGUUCUUUUUAAGUAGUAGAGAUUUUAGUGUUUCAAAGAAAAGGAAUAUCAAACGGAGUCCAAACGGAAUGAAACCUUCGGGAGCGAUCUUUUUGGAACAAACGCAAUCCAGGAGACUUGGAGUGGACGUCAAGAAGCAGCCGAGGCGGCCACGAGCCAUGAGGGCGCGCCCUAGGAGGGUGGGCGCGCCCCCACCCUCAUGGGCCCCUCGUGGCUCCCCUGACCUACAUCCUUCGCCUCUAUAUAUCCACAUACCCUGAAAACACCCAGGAGCACCACGAAAAACUAUUUCCACCGCCGCAACCUUCUGUAUCCGCGAGAUCCCAUCUUGGAGCCUUCGCCGGCGCUCCGCCGGAGGGGGAAUCGACCACGGGCGGCCUCUACAUCAUCUCCAAGGCCUCUCCGAUGAGUUGUGAGUAGUUUACCACAGACCUUCGGGUCCAUAGUUAUUAGCGAGAUGGCUUCUUCUCUCUCUUUGAAUCUCAAUACAAAGUUCUCCUCGAUCUUCUUGGAGAUCUAUUCGAUGUAACUCUUUUUGCGGUGUGUUUGUCGAGAUCCGAUGAAUUGUGGGUUUAUGAUCAAGUUUAUCUGUGAGAAAUAUUUGAAUCUCCUAUGAAUUCUUUUAUGUAUGAUUGGUUAUCUUUGCAUGUCUCUUCGAAUUAUCAGUUUGGUUUGGCCUACUAGAUUGAUCUUUCUUGCAAUGGGAGAAGUGCUUAGCAUUGGGUUCAAUCUUGCGGUGUCCUUUCCCAGUGACAGCAGGGGUAGCAAGCUAGGCACGUAUUGUAUUGUUGCCAUCGAGGGUAAAAAGAUGGGGUUUAUAUCAUAUUGCAUGAGUUUAUCCCUCUACAUCAUGUCAUCUUUCUUAAUGUGUCACUCUGUUCUUCAUGAACUUAAUACUCUAGAUGCAGGCAGGAGUAGGUCGAUGUGUGAGUAAUAGUAGUAGAUGCAUAAUCGUUUCGAUCUACUUGUCACGGACAUGAUGCCUAUCUACAUGAUCAUGCCUAGAUAAUCUCAUAACUAUGCACUUUUCUAUCAAUUGCUCAACAAUAAUUUGUUCACCCACCGUAAUACUUAUGCUAUCUUGAGAGAAGCCACUAGUGAAACCCAUGGCCACCGGGUCUAUCUUUUAUCAUAUAAGUUUUCCAUCUACUUUUAUUUGCAAUCUUUACUUUCCAAUCUAUAUCAUAAAAAUACCAAAAAUAUUUAUCUUAUCUUAUUAUCUCUAUUAGAUCUCACUUUCGCAAGUUACCAUGAAGGGAUUGACAACCCCUUUAUCACGUUGGUUGCGAGGUUCUUAUUUGUUUGUGUAGGUACGAGGGACUUCUGUGGAGCCUCCUACUAGAUUGAUACCUUGGUUCUCAAAAACUGAGGGAAAUACUUACGCUACUUUGUUGCAUCACCCUUUCCUCUUCAAGGAAAAACCAAUGCAGUGAUCAAGAGGUAGCAAGAAGGAUUUCUGGCGUCGUUGCCGGAGAGGUCUUCGCUCAAGUCAAGACAUACCAAGUACCCAUCACGAACUCAUCUCCCUCGCAUUAUAUUAUUUGCCAUUUGCCUCUCAUUUUUCUCUCCCCCACUUCACCCUUGCCGUUUUAUUCGCCCUCUCUUUCCCGUUCGCCUCUCUUUUUCACUUGCCUUUUUGUGUGCUUGUGUGUUGGAUUGUUUGUCACGAUGGCUCAAGAUAAUACUAAAUUGUGCGACUUUUCCAAUACCAAUAAUAAUGAUUUCUUUAGCACUCCGAUUGCUCCUCUUAAUGAUGCUGAAUCUUGUGAAAUCAAUGCUGCUUUGUUGAAUCUUGUUAUGAAAGAUCAAUUUUCCGGCCUUCCUAGUGAAGAUGUCGCUACUCAUCUAAACAACUUUGUUGAUUUGUGUGAUAUGCAAAAGAAGAAAGAUAUGGAUAAUGAUAUUGUUAAAUUGAAGUUAUUUCCGUUUUCACUUAGAGAUCGUGCUAAAACUUGGUUUUCGUCUUUGCCUAAAAAUAGUAUUGAUUCAUGGAAUAAGUGCAAAGAUGCUUGUAUCUCUAAAUACUCCCACUAAUAUCAUCUCUCUUAGAAACGAUAUUAUGAAUUUUAAUCAACUAGAUCAUGAGCAUGUUGUCCAAUCUUGGGAAAGAAUGAAAUUAAUGAUUCGCAAUUGCCCUACACAUGUUUGAAUUUAUGGAUGAUCACACAAAUUUUUUAUGCCAGAUUGAAUUUUGCUUCUAGAAAUCUUUUAGAUUCGGCUGCGGGAGGCACUUUUAUGGAAAUCACUUUAGGAGAAGCUACUAAACUCCUUGAUAAUAUUAUGGUUAAUUAUUCUCAAUGGCACACCGAAAGAUUUACUAGUAAAAAAGUUCAUGCGAUAGAAGAAAUUAAUAUUUUGAGUCGAAAGAUGGAUGAACUUAGGAAAUUAUCUGCUACUAAGAGUGCUCCUAUUGAUCCUAAUGAUAUGCCUUUGUCUACUUUGAUUCAGAAUAAUAAUGAAUCUAUGGAUGUGAAUUUUGUUGGUAGGAAUAAUUUUGGUAACAAUGCUUAUAGAGGAAACUUUAAUCCUAGGCCAUUUCCUAGUAAUUCCUCUAAUAAUUAUGGUAAUUCCUACAACAAUUCUUAUGGAAAUUUUAAUAAGAUGCCCUCUGAUUUUGAUAAUAGUGUUAAAGAAUUUAUGAUCUCUCAAAAGAAUUUCAAUGCUUUGCUUGAAGAAAAAUUGCUUAAAGUUGAUGAAUUGGCUAGAAACGUUGAUAGACUUUCUCUUGAUGUUGAUUCUUUGAAACUUAGAUCUAUUCCACGUAAGCAUGAUAUCAAUGAGUCUCUCAAAGCCAUGAGAAUUUCCAUUGAUGAGUGCAAAGAAAGACCCACUAGGAUGCGUGCUAAGAAAGAUUGCUUUGUAAAAGCGUGUUCAUCUAGUUUCCAUGAAAAUAAUGAUGAAGAUCUAAAAGUUAUUGAUGUGUCCCCUAUUAAAUCUUUGUUUUCAACAUGAAUCUUGAUAAUGAUGGGAAUGGAGAUGAGUCAACUUUAGCUAAAAGGCGUCCCAAUGAUUCAGAGUUUUUAGAUCUUGAUGCUAAAUUUGGUAAAAGUGGGAUUGGAGAGGUCAAAACUUUACAUAGCAUUGAACCCACUAUUAUGGAUUUCAAGCAAUUUAAUUAUGAUAAUUGUUCUUUAAUAUAUUGUAUUUCCUUGUUGCAAUCCGUGUUGAAUUCUCCUCAUGCUUAUAGUGAAAAUAAAGCUUUUACGAAACAUAUCGUUGAUGCCUCGAUGCAAUCUUAUGAGGAAAAACUUGAGUUGGAAGUUUCUAUACCUAGAAAACUUUAUGAUGAGUGGGAACCUACUAUAAAAAUUAAAAUUAAAGAUCAUGAAUGCUAUGCUUUGUGUGAUUUGGGUGCUAGUGUUUCUAUGAUUCCAAAAACUUUAUGUGAUGUGAUAGGUUUCCGUGAAUUUGAUGAUUGCUCUUUGAACUUACACCUUGCGGAUUCCACUAUUAAGAAACCUAUGGGAAGGAUUAGUGAUGUUAUUAUUGUUGCAAAUAGGAAUUAUGUGCCCGUAGAUUUCAUUGUUCUUGAUAUAGAUUGCAAUUUUUCAUGUCCUAUUAUUCUUGCUAGACCUUUCCUUAGAAUGAUUGGUGCAAUUAUUGAUAUGAAGGAAGGGAAUAUUAGAUUCCAAUUUCCAUUAAGGAAGGGCAUGGAACACUUCACUAGGAAGAAAGUCAAAUUACCUUACGAAUCUAUUAUGCAAGCCACCUAUGAAUUGAAUACCAAAGAUGGCAAUACUUAGAUCUAUUCUCGCUUUUAUGCCUAGCUAGGGGCGUUAAACGAUAGCGCUUGUUGGGAGGCAACCCAAUUUUAUUUUUGUUCUUUGAUUUUUGUUUAUUUUUAGUAAUAAAUAUUUCAUCUAGCUUCUAUUUAGAUGUGGUUUUAUGUUUUAAUUAGUGUUUGUGCCAAGUAGAACCUAUAGGAUAACCUACGGUGAUAGUUAAUUUGAUUCUGCUGAAAAACAAAAACUUUUGCACGCACGAGAAUAAUUUUAAUAAAUCAUACAAAUGUGCUUUUGCGUUGAUUCCUUUUGCAGUAGAUCAAUAGACAAAUUUCCCAGAACUUCCUAUUUUGGUAAGAGUUUUAGAGUUCCAGAAGUAUACUUAAGUUACAGAUUGCUACAGACUGUUCUGUUUUUGACAGAUUCUGUUUUUCGUGUGUUGUUUGCUUAUUUUGAUGCAUCUAUGGCUAGUAUCGGUGGGUAUGUGUUGGGAAACAUAGAAGAAAUUCAAGAUUUUCCUACGUGUCACCAAGAUCUAUCUAUGGAGAAACCAACAACGAGGGGAAGGAGAGUGCAUCUACAUACCCUUGCAGAUCGCUAAGCGGAAGCGUUCAAGAGAACGGGGUUGAAGGAGUCGUACUCGUCGUGAUCCAAAUCACCGGAGAUCCUAGUGCCGAACGGACGGCACCUCCGCGUUCAACACACGUACAGCCCGGUGACGCCUUCCAUGCCUUGAUCCAGCAAGGAGAGAGGGAGAGUUUGAGGAAGACUCCAUCCGGCAGCAGCACAACGGCGUGGUGGUGAUGGAGGAGCGUGGCAAUCCUGCAGGGCUUCGCCAAGCACCGCGGGAGAGGAGGAGGGAGAGAGGUAGGGCUGCGCCAGGGAGAGGUAAAACUCAUGUGUAUGCAGCCCCAAAUAACUCAACUAUAUAUAGGGGAGAGGGAGGGGGCUGCGCCUCCCCUAGGGUUCCCACCCCAAGGGGUGCGGCUGCCCCCAAAACCCAUCUAGGGUGCGGCCAAGGGGGGAGAGGGGGGAAACUUGCCCCCCAAGUUAGGUGGGUGCGCCCCCUCCCCAAACCCUAGGCGUCUUGGGCCCUUGUGGGGGGGGGCGCACCAGCCCACCUGGGGCUGGUCCCCUCCCACACUUGGCCCAUGCAGCCCUCCGGGGAUGGUGGCCCCACUUGGUGGACCCCCGGGACCCUCCCGGUGGUCCCGAUACGUUACCGAUAAAACCCGAAACUUUUCCGGUGACCAAAACAGGACUUCCCAUAUAUAAAUCUUUACCUCCGGACCAUUCCGGAACUCCUCGUGACGUCCGGGAUCUCAUCCGGGACUCCGAACAACAUUCGGUAACCACAUACAAACUUCCUUUAUAACCCUAGCGUCAUCGAACCUUAAGUGUGUAGACCCUACGGGUUCGGGAACCAUGCAGACAUGACCGAGACGUUCCCCGGUCAAUAACCAACAGCAGGAUCUGGAUACCCAUGUUGGAUCCCACAUGUUCCACGAUGAUCUCAUCGGAUGAACCACAAUGUCAAGGACUCAAUCAAUCCCGUAUACAAUUCCCUUUGUCUAGCGGUAUUGUACUUGCCCGAGAUUCGAUCGUCAAUAUACCGAUACCUUGUUCAAUCUCGUUACCGGCAAGUCUCUUUACUCGUUCCGUAACACAUCAGCCCGUGAUCAACCCCUUGGUCACAUUGUGCACAUUUUGAUGAUGUCCUACCUAGUGGGCCCAGAGAUACCUCUCCGUUACACGGAGUGACAAAUCCCAGUCUCGAUUCGUGCCAACCCAACAGACACUUUCGGAGAUACCUGUAGUGCACCUUUAUAGCCACCCAGUUACGUUGUGACGUUUGGUACACCCAAAGCAUUCCUACGGUAUCCGGGAGUUGCACAAUCUCAUGGUCUAAGGAAAUGAUACUUGACAUUUAGAAAAGCUUUAGCAUAUGAACUACACGAUCUUUGUGCUAGGCUUAGGAUUGGGUCUUGUCCAUCACAUCAUUCUCCUAGUGAUGUGAUCCCGUUAUCAACGACAUCCAAUGUCCAUGGUCAAGAAACCGUAACCAUCUAUUGAUCAACGAGCUAGUCAUCUAGAGGCUUACUAGGGACUUGGUGUUGUCUAUGUACCCACACAUGUAUCUGAGUUUCCUACCAAUACAAUUGUAGCAUGGAUAAUAAACGAUUAUCAUGAACAAGGAAAUAUAAUAAUAACCAAUUUAUUAUUGCCUCUAGGGCAUAUUUCCAACAGUCUCCCACUUGCACUAGAGCCAAUAAUCUAGUUCACAUCGCCAUGUGAUUAACACUGAUAGGUCACAUCGCCAUGUGACCAACAUCCAAAGAGUUUACUAGUGUCAGUAAACUAGUUCACAUCACCAUGUGAUUAAGACUCAAUGAGUUCUGGGGUUUGAUCAUGUUUUGCUUGUGAGAGAGGUUUUAGUCAACGGGUCUGCAAUUCUCUAUGUCAUAUUGUAAAUGCUGCUUCCACGCUCCACUUGGAGCUAUUCCAAAAUGGUUGCUCCACUAUACGUAUCCGGUUUGCUACUCAGAGUCAUUCGGAUAGGUGUUAAAGCUUGCAUCGACGUAACCCUUUACGCCGAACUCUUUAUCACCUCCAUAAUCGAGAAACAUGUCCUUUAUUUACUCCAAGGACAAUUUUGACCGAUGUCCAAUGAUCUAUUCCUGGAUCAUUCUUGUACCCCUUGACUGACUCAUGGCAAGGCACACUUCCGGUGCGGUACACAGCAUAGCAUACUAUAGAGCCUAUGUUUGAAGCAUAGGGGACGACCUUCGUCCUUUCUCUCUCUUCUGCCGUGGUCGAGCUUUAAGUCUUAACUUCAUACCUUACAACUCAGGCAAGAACUCCUUCUUUCACUUAUCCAUCUUGAACACCUUCAAGAUCAUGUCUAGGUAUGUGCUCAUUUGAAAGUACCAUUUAGCGGUUUUUGAUCUAUCCUCAUAGAUCUUGAUGUUCAAUGUUUAAGCAGCUUAAUCCAGGUUUUUUAUUGAAAAACGCCUAUUCAAAUAACCCUAUAUGCUUUCCAGAAAUUCUACAUCAUUUCCGAUCAACAAUAUGUCAACAACAUAUACUCAUCAGAAAUUCUAUAGUGCUCCCACUAACUUCUUUGGAAAUACAAGUUUCUCAUAAACUUUGUAUAAACCCAAAAUCUUUGAUCAUCUCAUCAAAGUGUUCAUUCCAACUCCGAGAUGCUUACUCUAGUCCUUAGAAGGAUUGCUGGAGCUUUGCAUACUUGUUAGCGUCUUUCAGGAUUGUCAAAGACCUUCUGGUUGUAUCACAUACAACCUUUCCUCAAGAAAACUGUCAAGGAAACAAUGUUUUGACAUCCUAUAUGCAAGAUUUCAUAAAUAAUGCAGUAACUGCUAAUCCAAUGCCAACAGACUCUUAGCAUCGCUAUGAGUGAGAAAGCCUCACUGUAGUCAACUCCUUGAACUUGUCGGAAAACAUCUUUAACGACAAAUAGAGCUUUCUUAAUGGUGAUACUUACCAUCAUUGUCUGUGUUCCUUUUAAAAUCCAUCUUUACCCAACGGCCUUACGACGAUCAAGUAUUUCUUCCAAAGUCAUGGAUCCUCUCUCGGAUUUUAUGGCCUCGAGCCAUUCAUCGUAAUCCGGGCCCACCAUCGCUUCUCCAUAGCUCGUAGGUUCAUUGUUGUCUAGCAACAUGACCUCUAAGUGAGGAUUGCGUACCACUCUGAAGUAGUACGCGUCCUUGUUGACCUACGAGGUUCGGUAGCGACUUGAUCCGAAGCAUCAUGAUCACUAUCACCAGCUUCCACUUCAAUUGGUGUAGGUGCCACAUGAACAACUUCAUGUGCCCUGCUACACACUGGUUGAAGUGAUGGUUCAAUAACCUCAUCAAGUCUCCACCAUCCUCCCACUCAAUUCUUUCGAGAGAAACUUUUCCUCGAGAAAGGACCUGAUUCCAGAAACAAUCCCUUUUGCUUCCGGAACUGAGACUGGAGGUAUACCCAACUGUUUUGGGUGUCCUAUGAAGAUGCAUUUAUCCGCUUUGGAUUCGAGCUUAUCAGCCUGAAACUUUUUCACAUAAGUGUCGCAGCCCCAAACUUUUAAGAAACGACAACUUAGGUUUCUCCAAACCAUAGUUCAAACGGUGUUGUCUCAACGGAAUUACGUGGUGCCCUAUUAAAGUGGGUGUGGUUGUCUCUAAUGCCUAACCCAUGAACGAUAGUGGUAAUUCAAUAAGAGACAUCAUGAUACGCACCAUAUCCAAUAGGUUGCAACUAUGAUGUUCGGACACACCAUCACACUAUGGUGUUCCUCGCGGUAUUAAUUGUGAAACAAUUUCCAUAAUGUCUUAAUUGCGUGCCAAAGCUCGUAACUCAGAUACUCAUCUCUAUGAUCAUAUCAUAGAAAUUUUAUCCUCUUGUCACGAUGAUCUUCAACUUCACUCUAAAAUUACUUAAACCAUUCAAUAAUUCAGACUUGUGUUUCAUCAAGUAAAUAUACUCAGUAUCUACUUAAAUCAUCCGUGAAGUAAGAACAUAAUGAUAUUCACUGCAUGCCUCAGCACUCAUUGGACUGCACAGAUCAAAUGUGUUACUUCCAACAAGUUGCUAUCUUGUUCCAUCUUAUUGAAAACGAGGCUUUUCAGUCAUCUUGCCUAUGUGGUCUGAUUUGCAUAUCUCAAGUGAUUCAAAAUCAAGUGAGUCCAAACGAUCCAUCUGCAUGGAGUUUCUUCAUGCGUAUACACCAAUAGACAUGGUUUGCAUGUCUCAAACUUUUCAAAAAUGAGUGAGUCCAAAGAUCCAUCAACAUGGAGCUUCUUCAUGCGUUUUACACCAAUAUGACUUACAUGGCAGUGCCACAAGUAAGUGGUACUAUCAUUACUAUCAUAUAUCUUUUGGCAUGAAAAUGUGUAUCACUAUGAUCGAGAUUCAAUGAACUAUUCAUUUUAGGUGCAAGACCAUUGAAGGUAUUAUUCAAAUAAACAAAGUAACCAUUAUUCUCCUUAAAUGAAUAACCGUAUUGCGAUAGACAUGACCCAAUCAUGUCUAUGCUCAACGCAAAUGCCAAAUAACAAUUAUUUAGGUUUAACACCAAUCUCGAUGGUAGACGGAGCGUGCGAUGCUUGAUCACAUCAACCUUGGAAACACUUCCAACACAUAUCGUCAGCUCACCUUUAGCUAGUCUCCGUUUAUUCCGUAGCUUUUAUUUCGAGUUACUAACACUUAGCAACCGAACCGGUAUCUAAUACCCUGGUGCUACUAGGAGUACUAGUAAAGUACAUAUUAACAUAAUGUAUAUCCAAUAUACUUCCGUCGACCUUGCCAACCUUCUUAUCUACCAAGUAUCUAGGGUAAUUCUGCUCCAGUGGCUGUUCCCCUUAUUACAGAAGCACUUAGUCUCGGGUUUGGGUUUAACCUUGGGUUUCUUCACUGGAGCAGCAACUGAUUUGCCGUUUCAUGAAGUGCCCCUUCUUGCCCUUGCCCUUCUUGAAACUAGUGGUUUCACCAACCAUCAACAAUUGAUGCUCCUUCUUGAUUUCUACUUUCGCGGUGUCAAACAUCGUGAAUAUCUCAAGGAUCAUCAUAUCUAUCCCUGAUUUGUUAUAGUUCAUCACGAAGCUCUAGCAGCUUGGUGGCAAUGACUUUGGAGAAACAUCACUAUCUCAUCUGGAAGAUCAACUCCCACUCAAUUCAAGUGAUUGUUGCACUCAGACAAUCUGAGCACAAGCUCAACGAUUGAGCUUUUCUCCCUUAGUUUGUAGGCUAAGAAAAAUCGUCGGAGGUCUUAUACCUCUUGACGUGGGCACGAGCCUGAAAUCCCAAUUUCAGCCCUCGAAACAUCUCAUAUGUUCCGCGACGUUUCGAAAAACGUCUUUGGUGCCUCAACUCUAAACCGUUUGACUGAACUAUCACGUAGUUAUCAAAAUGUGUAUGUCCGAUGUUCGCAACAUCGACAGAUGACGUUUGGGGUUCAGCACACUGAGCGGUGCAUUAAGGACAUAAGCCUUCUAUUGUCCGCAUAAUUGCUACUGUCAACUUUCAACUAUAUUUUCUCUAGGAACAUAUCUAAAACAGUAGAACUAAAGCGCGAGCUAUGACAUAAUUUGCAAAGGGCUUUUGACUAUGUUCAGGAUAAUUAAGUUCAUCUAAUGAACUCCCACUCAGAUAGACAUCCCUCUAGUCAUCUAAGUGAUUACAUGAUCCGAGUCAACUAGACCGUGUCCGAUCAUCAUCUGAGACGGACUAGUCAUCAUCGGUGAACAUCUUCAUGUUGAUCGUAUCUACUAUACGACUCAUGCUCGACCUUUCGGUCUCUUGUGUUCCGAGGCCAUGCCUGUACAUGCUAGGCUCGUCAAGUUAACCUAAGUGUUUCACGUGUGUAAAUCUGGCUUACACCCGUUGUAUGUGAACGUUAGAAUCUAUCACACCCGAUCAUCACGUGGUGCUUCGAAACGGCAAACUUUUGCAACGGUGCACAGUUAGGGGGAACACUUUCUUGAAAUUUUAAUGAGGGAUCAUCUUAUUUACUACCAUCGUUCUAAGCAAAUAAGAUGUAUAAACAUGAUAAACAUCGCAUGCAAUCAAAUAGUGACAUGAUAUGGCCAAUAUCAUUUUGCUCCUUUUGAUCUCCAUCUUCGGGGCUCCAUGAUCAUCAUCGUCACCGGCAUGACACCAUGAUCUCCAUCAUCAUGAUCUCCAUCAUCGUGUCUCCAUGAAGUUGUCUCGCCAACUUAUUACUUCUACUACUAUGGCUACCGGUUAGCAAUAAAGAAAAGUAAUUACAUGGCGUUUGUUCAAUGACACGUAGGUCAUACAAUAAAUUAAGACAACUCCUAUGGAUCCUGCCGGUUGUCGUAUUCAUCGACAUGCAAGUCGUGAUUCCUAUUACAAGAACAUGAUCAAUCUCAUACAUCACAUAUCAUUCAUCACAUUCUUCUUGGCCAUAUCACAUCACAUAGCAUACCCUACAAAAACAAGUUAGACGUCCUCUAAUUGUUGUUUGCAUGUUUUACGUGGCUGCUAUGGGUUUCUAGCAAGAACGUUUCUUACCUACGCAAAAACCACAACGUGAUAUGUCAAUUGCCAUUUACCCUUCAUAAGGACCCUUUUCAUUGAAUCCGAUCCGACUAAAGUGGGAGAGACUGGCACCCGCUAGCCACCUUAUGCAAAAAGUGCAUGUCAGUCGGUGGAACCUGUCUCGCGUAAGUGUACGUGUAAGGUCGGUCCGGGCCGCUUCAUCCCACAAUGCCGCCGAAUCAAGAUUGGACUAGUAACGGUAAGCAUAUUGAACAAAAUCAACGCCCACAACUACUUUGUGUUCUACUCGUGCAAAGAAUCUACGCAAUAGACCUAGCUCUGAUACCACUGUUGGGGAACGUAGAAGAAAUUCAAAAUUUUCCUACGUGUCACCAAGAUCUAUCUAUGGAGAAACCAGCAACGAGGGGAAGGAGAGUGCAUCUACAUAACCUUGUAGAUCGCUAAGCGGAAGCGUUCAAGAGAACGGGGUUGAAGGAGUCGUACUCAUCGUGAUCCAAAUCACCGGAGAUCCUAGUGCCGAACGGACGGCACCUCCGCGUUCAACACACGUACAGCCCGGUGACGUCUCCCAUGCCUUGAUCCAGCAAGGGGAGAGGGAGAGGUUGAGGAAGACUCCGUCCAGCAGCAGCACAACGGCGUGGUGGUGAUGGAGGAGCGUGGCAAUCCUGUAGGGCUUCGCCAAGCACCGCGGGAGAGGAGGAGGGAGAGAGGUGGGGCUGCGCCAGGGAGAGGUCAAACUCAUGUGUAUGCAGCCCCAAAUACCUCAACUAUAUAUAGCGAGAGGGAGGGGGCUGCGCCUCCCCUAGGGUUCCCACCCCAAGGGGUGCGUCUGCCCCCAAAACCCAUCUAGGGUGCGGCCAAGGGGGGAGGGGGGGGGGAAACUUGCCCCCCAAGUUAGGUGGGUGCGCCCCCCUCCCCAAACCCUAGGCGCCUUGGGCCCUUGUGUGUGUGUGGGGGGGGAGGGCGCACCAGCCCACCUGGGGCUGGUCCCCUCCCAAACUUGGCCCAUGCAGCCCUACGGGGAUGGUGGCCCCACUUGAUGGACCCCCGGGAACCUCCCGGUGGUCCCGGUACGUUACCGAUAAAACCCGAAACUUUUCCGGUGACCAAAACAGGACUUCCCAUAUAUAAAUCUUUACCUCCGGACCAUUCCGAAACUCCUCGUGAUGUCCGGGAUCUCAUCCGGGACUCCGAACAACAUUCGGUAACCACAUACAAACUUCCUUUAUAACCCUAGCGUCAUCGAACCUUAAGUGUGUAGACCCUACGGGUUCGGGAACCAUGCAGACAUGACCGAGACGUUCUCCGGUCAAUAACCAACAGCGGGAUAUGGAUACCAAUGUUGGCUCCCACAUGUUCCACGAUGAUCUCAUCGGAUGAACCAUGAUGUCAAGGACUCAAUCAAUCCCGUAUACAAUUCCCUUUGUCUAGCGGUAUUGUACUCGCCCAAGAUUCGAUCGUCGGUAUACCGAUACCUUGUUCAAUCUCGUUACCGGCAAGUCUCUUUACUCGUUACGUAACACAUCAUCCCGUGAUUAACCCCUUGGUCACAUUGUGCACAUUUUCAUGAUGUCCUACCGAGUGGGCCCAGAGAUACCUCUCUGUUACACGGAGUGACAAAUCCCAGUCUCGAUUCGUGCCAACCCAACAGACACUUUUGGAGAUACCUGUAGUGCACCUUUAUAGCCACCUAGUUACGUUGUGACGUUUGGUACACCCAAAGCAUUCCUACGGUAUCCGGGAGUUGCACAAUCUCAUGGUCUAAGGAAAUGACACCUGACAUUUAGAAAAGCUUUAGCAUAUGAACUACACGAUCUUUGUGUUAGGCUUAGGAUUGGGUCUUGUCCAUCUCAUCAUUCUCCUAAUGAUGUGAUCCCGUUAUCAAUGACAUCCAAUGUCCAUGGUCAGGAAACCGUAACCAUCUAUUGAUCAACGAGCUAGUCAUCUAGAGGCUUACUAGGGACUUGGUGUUGUCUAUGUACCCACACAUGUAUCUGAGUUUCCUAUCAAUACAAUUAUAGCAUGGAUAAUAAACGAUUAUCAUGAACAAGGAAAUAUAAUAAUAACCAAUUUAUUAUUGCCUCUAGGGCAUAUUUCCAACAGUAUGAACAAUAGAGAAGUUGGAUUAAAGUAGGUUUAACACCAACAUAAAUAAAUAAUGAGGUCAUUAUAGUACCUUAUGUGGUGGUUUUUCUUUCUUGCACUACCGGAGCUUAUGUGAUUUCCUGUUGAGUUUUGUGUUGUGAAGCUUUCAAGUUUUGGGUAAAAGAUUUGAUGGACUAUGGAAUAAGGAGUGGCAAGAACCUAAGCUUGGGGAUGCCCAUGGCACCCCAAGAUAUUCAAGGACAACCAAAAGACUAAGCUUGGGGAUUCCCCGGGAGGCAUCCCCUCUUUCAUCUUUGUCUAUCGGUAACUUUACUUGGAGCUAUGUUUUUAUUCGCCACAUGAUAUGUGUUUUGCUUGGAGCGUCUUGUGUGAUAUGAGUCUUUGCUUUUUAGUUUACCACAAUAAUCCUUGCUGUACACACCUUUUGGGAAAGAUACACUUGAUCGGGAAUUUAUUAGAAUACUCUAUGUGCUUCACCUAUAUAUUUUGAGCUAGAUAAUUUUGCCCUAGUGCUUCACUUAUAUCUUUUUAGAGCACGACGGUGGCUUGAUUUUGUAGAAAUUGUUGAUCUCUCAUGCUUCACUUAUAUUAUUUUGAGAGUCUUAUAGAACAACAUGGUAUUUGCUAUGGUUAUAAAAUUGUUCCUAGAACGAUGAGCAUCCAAGUUGGGUAUAAUAAAAACUAUCAUAGAAAGUGCAUUAAACACUAUGAUCAAUUUGAUGCUUGAUAAUUGUUUUGAGAUAUAAAGGUGGUAAUGUUAGAGUCAUGCUAGUUGGGUAAUUAUGAAAUUGAGAAAUACUUGUGUUGAAGUUGGCAAGUCCCAUAGCAUGCACGUAUGGUAAAAGUGUGUGACAAAUUUGUUGCAUGGGGUGCUCUUUUAAUUGUCUUCCUUAUGUGUGGAGGUCAGGAUCACGCGAUGGUUAACUCCUACCAACCCUUCUGUAAGGGCAUAUUUAUCCCUAAGUGUUUUGGUGAUUGACGACAAUGCUUUUGCGGACUAAUCGUGUGCCUUGAGUUUCUCAGAUGCUUCAUCGCUAGGCACAAGACGGUUCGGUGCCCCUCAAAGACUAUUGAAGACGUCGUUUUUCUACGUUUCUUUUUGGUGGACUUGAGUCGUAGGAGAGCCGUACUAUUAAGAGGGGGUCCGCGUCGGAAAGGUUCGGGUGGAAUCAUCACGUACAUGUUUCCUUCCUUGUCUCCACCUUUCCCUUGCACUUUGGAGCAUCCCCCGUUUAUCCUCUAUGCGGUUGUCCUGGCUGCUAUUGCUGAGCUUGCGGUAGUACUGCUCCAUGGAGCGGUAGUACCGCAGGCACCUGCGGUAGUACCGUGCCUCUGCGCGGUAGUACCGUGGGAGCCCAUGGUAGUACCGCUCCUCUGGAGUCGUAGUACCAUGGCUCCCUGGCCAAGUACCGCUGCUUCACGGUAGUAGGGCGGAUGUAAUUUUUUACAUCCGCGCCUGCACGGUAGUACCGCACAUCGUGCACGGUAGUACCGCGGGAGCCCACGGUAGUACCUCUCCUCUGGAGCCGUAGUACCGUGGCUCCCUGGCCAAGUGUCUCUGCUUCGCGGUAGUAGGGGCGGAUGUAAUUUUUUACAUCCGUGCCCCCACGGUAGUACCGCACUUCGAGCACGGUAGUACCGUGACGGAUGUUUGCAUCGUUUGUUUUCCAGCGGAAGUAGGCACAGAUGUAUUUUUAUUCAUCUGCACCCUUCCCAGGCUAGGACUUUCCUGCCUUGCGGUAGUACCACUAGAGGGAGCGGUAGUACCGCGCUCGCGGUAGUACUGCUCUUAGUCAGGCAUGUUCUAGUCUCUGCAGUUGCCGCGGUAGUACCGUGGUCCCUCACGGUAGUACCACGUGGCCUUGUGGUAGUACCGCGUUUCUGGAGUGGUAGUACCGCAUGUCGCAGGCUGGAUUAGUGGAUAACGGUUGGAUUUUGUCCACAAGUAUAAAAGGGGUGUCUCAUACCUCUAGUUGACCACCUCUUCCAUCCCUAAGCUCCAUUGUUGCUCCAAGCUCCAUUUUUGCCCGAUCUCUCUCCCUAGCCAAUCAAACUUAUUGAUUUGCUCGGGAUUGGUUGAGGAGGCCCCAAUCUACACUUCCACCAAGAGAAAUUUGAUUCCCCCCCAAUAAUCCCUAGCGGAUCUUGUUACUCUUCGAUGUUUGAGCACCCUAGACGGUUGAGGUCACCUCGGAGCCAUAGUCCAUUGUGGUGAAGCUUCGUGGUGUCGUUGGGAGCCUCCAAUUAAGUUAUGGAGAUUGCCCCAACCUUGUUUGUAAAGGUUCGGUCACCGCCUUCAAGGGCACCAAUAGUGGAAUCAUGGCAUCUCGCAUUGUAUGAGGGUGUGAGGAGAUUACAGUGGCCCUAGUGGCUUCUUGGGGAGCAUUGUGCCUCCACACCGCUCUAACGGAGACGUACUUCCCCUCAAAAGGAAGGAACUUUGGUAACACAUCCUCGUCUCCACCGGCUCCACUCUUGGUUAUCUCGUGCCUUUACUUGUGGAAGCUUAUUUGUGUUGCAUCCUUUGCUUGCUUUUGUACUAGUUGUUAUUGCAUCAUAUAGGUUGCUCACUUAGUUGCAUAUCUAGACAACCUACUUCGAUGCUAAGUUUAAAUUGGUAAAGAAAAUAUUAAAAAGUGUUAGUUGCCUAUUCACCCCUCCCCUGUAGUCAACUAUAUCGAUCCUUUCAAUUGGUAUCAGAGCCUCGUCUCUUUAUUAAGGACUUUUUCGUCCGAAGAGUAUGGUUGACACCACAGAUGGUGUGGAGGAGCACUCUGGUGUGAAUCCUACCUUGUCUACAGCCGAUGGGGGAACCACGGUCUCUCGUGAGGAAUUCAAUGCGGCUUUGGACACAUUGAAAACCUCCAUGAAGACUGAGGUUGAAAGCAUGUUUACUAAAUAUCUAGGAGGUCUUAAACAGUCUACCUCACCGAUGAAAUUGGGUGAUCCCACUAACAAGGUGACGGAUGCUUCCUCCGACAAGGGGGAAGCUAAUAGUGAAAAGGGUCCUUCUACUAGUGGUAGAAAUGGCACCGGCCUUUUUGCCCAUGUGGAACCUCCAACUUAUGGAGGACCGAUUCCCUCUACUCAUUUAAAUCAUGCUGGUCCUCCUCCUAAGAUUGUGAAAAAUGAGGAUUUUGAUUCUUGGGUGUAUCGCUUUAAGCGUCAUUUAAAUCAUGUGAACACUAACCUUUGGAGAAUCAUUGAAGAAGGUUUCUACCCGCAUGACGCAAGCAACUUCUCCCCUAGAGAAGCCGUAGAUCAUCAAUUCAAUGAGAAUGCUCUCUUCAUCAUCCAAGAUGCUAUUCCUCCCGAAGAUCUUCCUUAUCUUCGACCCUACGCCAUGGCCAAAGAUGUGUGGCAGUGCAUUGUGUCUCUCUAUCAAGGAAGCGCAAGCAUUCAAGCUCCAACUAUGAAGUGGUGCAAGAUGAAUCCGAUGAAUUUGCAAUGAAGGAAGAUGAAGAACCUUGUGAGCUCUUUCGGAGAGUUACCAAACUUGCGGUCUCACUCCGAGAUCAUGGGAGUAAGGACACGGAUGACAAUUGGAUCAAACGCAAGUUUCUCAAGGCCAUGAUGCCCUACAACAAGGACAUGUCCUCCGUCAUCCGUCAACGACCGGACUUCCACUCCAUGACCUCAAGUGAAGUGUUGGAUGAGUUUGUUGCUAUGAGCAUCUUGGACAAAACCGCCGACAACGCGGUGCUCCGUUCUCAAAGAACAAAGAAGACCAAUCGUGCUUUGAAGGCCAAGGUCAUUGUGGAAGAAUAGGAAGAAGAAGAUGAUGAGAGCAAUCCCGAGGAUACAAAAUAUGAUUAUCAUGAGCACAUGGCUCUUGCUUCGAGGCAAUUUUGGAGCAAGAAGAAUACAAGGCCUAAUUUCAACAAGAGCAAUUCAAGUGGGCUCAAGGGCAAGCAACGAGUGAGAACUUGUUACAAUUGUGGUAAUGUGAGUCACUUUGUUGCGGAUUGUCCUUACGAGAAGUGGGAAGACAAUGGUGCAAGCUCAUUCGAAAAGACAAAGCCAAGUCCUUCCCCAACAAGAACAACUUCACCAAGAAGACUCCUACUCGAGGGUUAGUGGUUCAAGAAGAAUACCAUGAGGAUGACGAUGAUGAUGAAGAUGGAGAAGCAAUAGUCAUGGCCUCGGUUUCCAUUGCUACUACACCCCAGGUGUCUCUUUUUGAUUCACCCAACGAGAACAUCACCGCCAAGUGCCUCAUGGCUAAAGCCACUAACAAGGUAACCCCCAACAUCAAAACCACCAUCAUUACUAAUCCUUCCUUGACGGAUUGCACUGAUGAAAAUGAGGGGUAGAAUGAAGAGUUGAAUGAGUUUGAGUCUUUUAUGAGUAAACUCAAGGGUAAAUCCAAGAAGCACUUUGUUGCUCUCUUGGAACAACUUGGUGAAGCCAAUGACAUGAUCGAGGCUCAUGAAGAAACCAUCUCUAAGAUGGAAGGUCAUAGUCGUGACUAUGCCGAUGAGAUAUCGGAUCUCUCUAAUUCCCUCGAGGAAGAGCGUGGGCAUCAUUUGACCCUUGAGGAGUCACACAACAAUGACCAUGCUAAAUUAAAGAAAAAUCUUGAUCAUGCUAUUGUUAUCUCUCGUAUGGCAAACUCCGAGAAGACUAAACUUGGGGUUGAUCUUUCUAGACUCAAAGAGGAGUUUGAUGUACUUGAGAAGCCUCACAAGGCCUUGAAGGGUGCUCAUGCUAGCCUCAAGGAGUCUCAUGCUCAACUCCAAGUGAAGUUAACCAAGGAGAAAGCCACUUUUCCUCCUAUGGUCUUAAUUGAUAACGCAAAUGCUACUAACCCGUGUUGUGAGCAUGUGCAUCUUGUGGAGGAGAAUGCCCAGUUGAAAGAGCAAUUGAAGAAAGGUCUUGUGACAUGCAUUCAAGGUGAGAAAAACCUCAAUGACCUUUUGAGUAAUCAAAAGGAAGUUGUGGCCAAGGAGGGAGUUGGGUUUACCCCCAAGUCCAAGAACAAGAAGAAGAAUGACAAGACCAAACGAACUCCUCCUCUCAAGCAAACAUUUGUGAAGGAGGGAUAAGUUCUCCUAAGGAGAAGAAGAACAAUGGGAAGGGUGGUGAUGUCAAGAAGGGCAAUGCUACCCCUUCCAACAAAGCCGACGACUUUAACCCCUCACAUGUGUUAUGCCGUGCUAGUGAUGGACAUGUUUACGCAAAAUUUGUUGGUUCUUCUUAUGAGUAUAUUGAAUGGUCUAUUUGGGUUCCCAAGACCCUUGUUGCUAACAUCAAAGGAACCAUUACUCAAUGGGUACCUAAAACCAAGCAUUGGUUUCAUGUAGGGGUUUGCUUCCGGUGGAGGAUCAUGGUUGCUCGAUAGUGGAGCAACAAAUCAUGACCGGAAGCAAGGAGUUGGUGGCGGACGUGCACAAGAUUCCAUCUAUGCCCACCAACAUCGAGUGGGGUGAUGCCUUGUCCUCUAAAGUAUUGGGUCUUGGCAAGGUUGUCAUUUCUCAUGAUCUAACGAUCGAGAAAUUCAUGCUUGUCGAGUCCCUUGCAUUCAAUCUUCUUUUCGUUCGUCAACUUGCACUCAUGGGUUUUUCCACCUUCUUUGAUAUUGAUACCGUGGCCCUCUUGUGGAGCAAGACUCUUAAAGUAGCAUUGGUUGGGCAUGUCAAGAACGGUCUCUAUGUGAUUAACUUUUCGGAGCGACCCACUAAGACCGCGACAUGCCUAAUGGCUAAAGUUGAUGUGGGAUGGCUUUGGCAUCACCAUUUAUCCCAUGUCAAUAUGAGAUCUUUGCAAAGUUUUCUCAAGGGGGACCAUGUCCGUGGACUAACAAAUGUUAGUUUUGCCAAAGAUCGUGCUUGAAGUGCUUGUAUCGAAGGGAAGCUGCAUGAGAAGGCUCACCCUCCCAUGACUAUCAUCUACUCAAAGAGACCCUUGGAGCUCCUUCACAUGGACCUCUUUGGGCCUCCAUCCUUUGAUAGUCUUGGGGGUAGAAAGUAUUGCUUGGUGAUUGUGGAUGAUUACACAAGAUACACUUGGGUAUAUUUCUUCAAGAGAAAGAGUGAAACUCAACAAACCGUCAUCGACUUUGCAAAUGAAGCUCAACGCCAACAUGAUGCAAAGAUAUUGACAAUAAGAAGUGACAAUGGCACUGAGUUCAAGAACUACACCUUGGAUGAGUUUCUUAGUGAUGAGGGGAUUAAACAUCAAUAUGCUGCACCAUAUACCCCUCAACAAAAUGGUGUAGCGGAGAGGAAGAAUCGGACAUUGAUGGAUGCGGCAAGAACCAUGAUGGCGGAGUUCAAGUCUCCAUACAACUUUUGGGCUGAAGCCAUCAACACAGCAUGUCAUGCAUCCAAUCGGCUCUAUCUCCGUAAAGGCUUGAACAAGACUCCUUAUGAAAUACUCACUGGUAACAAGCCCAACCUCAAGUACUUCCAGGUGUUCGGGUGUAAGUGUUUCAUUCUCAAGAAAGGUGUUCAUUUGUAUAAAUUUGAGGCUAGAGCUUAUGAGGGCAUAUUCGUUGGUUAUGCUUCAGACUCUCAUGCUUACCGUGUCCUCAGCAAGUCCACCGGACUCAUUGAGGAGACGUGUAACUUAGAGUUUGACGAGAAUAAUGGCUCCCAAGUGGAGCAAAGUGGUACUUGUGAUGUAGGUGAUGAAAUUCCUCCCCAAGCCAUAAGAAGAAUGGGUAUUGGUCAUAUCCUACCCAUUGAGGAACCCCUUGUGGCCGAAGGAGAAGGACAAUGCUCCACUCAAGUGGAGCCAUCACCAACCCAAGACCCACACGCUUCCGAAGAACAUAGUGAAGGCCCUCAACCUCGUGAACAAGACAAAGGGCAAGAUCAACCUCAAGAUGGUGAUGAUUCACCAAACGAUGCCCAAUGUCAAGUUCUCCCCCUCGAGCAAGUUCAAGAUCAAGAGCAAGCUCAAGAUCUUGAACAAGCUCAAGACGUCGCUCAAGAUAGUCAAGUUAAUCCUCCUCCCUCCACAUCCGAGGAGGAACUAGAGCAUCGUGCCGCGAAGGUCGCUUCCAAGCUCACCACCAAAGGUCAUCUCAUGGAGAAUGUGGUUGGAAGCCUAAGAAAGGGGGUAAGAACUCGUAGACAAUUAGCAAACUAUUGUGAACAUCACACAUUUGUCUCUUGUGUUGAACCCCAAAAGGUCUAUGAGGCGCUCAAAGAUUCGGAUUGGCUCAAUGCCAUGCAUGAAGAACUCAACAACUUUGAGUACAACAAGGUGUGGAGAUUGGUGCCAAGGCCGUCGGGGAACCACAAUGUCAUUGGAACCAAGUGGAUUUUCAAGAACAAGCAAGAUGCUCAUGGGAACAUCAUUCGCAACAAGGCAAGAUUGGUAGCACAAGGCUACUCCCAAGUCGAGGGUAUCGACUAUGGUGAAAACUUUGCUCCCGUUGCCCGCCUUGAAUCCAUUUGUUUGUUGAUUGCUUAUGCUUCCCAUCACAACUUUAAGUUACAACAAAUGGAUGUGAAAAGUGCUUUUCUUAAUGGUCCUAUUAAUGAGUUGGUCUAUGUCAAGCAACCCCCCGGGUUCGAGGAUCCCUACUUCCCGGAUCAUGUGUAUCAACUCGAUAAGGCACUCUAUGGCCUUAAACAAGCCCCACGUGCGUGGUAUGACCACCUUACCGAGUUGUUACAAGAUCGUGGAUUUGAAGUUGGGCAAAUUGAUCCCACUCUUUUUACUAAGAAGGUCAAAGGGGAGUUGUUUGUAUGCCAACUAUAUGUUGAUGAUAUUAUCUUUGGUUCCCCUAACAAAGCUUUCAAUGAGGAAUUUGCCGCUCUCAUGACCUCUAAGUUCAAGAUGUCCUCGAUGGGAGAGUUGAAGUUCUUCCUUGGUUUCGAUAUCAAACAAAGAAGAGAAGGUACCUUCAUCAACCAAGCCAAAUACACUCAAGACAUGCAAAAAAAGAUUCAAGCUAAGUGAUGUCAAGCCGGCCUCUACUCCAAUGCCUACCAACACUACUAGGGAAAAGCCUAUACACAGAAUCUUACCAGCAGCGCUCCUCAAAAUACGACACUACUGCUAUUUAGCAGCAGCGUGUGAUAGCAAAACGCGCUGCUGAAAGGAAAAUAGCAGUAGCGCGUCCACCACAAAACGCGCUACUGCUCUAAUUGCCAUGUCCUCGGCCCCCGCUAGUUAUAGCAGUAGCGCCCUAUAAUGAACCGCGCUACUGCUAUGGAAGUUAGCAGCAGCGUGCUUCAUAGAAAACCGCUACAGCUAAGAUCAGCCCACAAGUUUAGUCCCACCUCGCUCCGUGAACAGGGUGUUUACCACCUCAAAUAUGUUAUUUUGAAACUAUCACAACCAGUUGGUCUUCACUAAACUCCAUGUGUAAAAUUUGUGGCCGCAAUAUGAGUCCUCUCCGGUUCCUACCGGAGAGGACUCAUAUUGACAAUUAAGAUUGUACACAAAAAGAUCAUUGAUGGCCAAUGAAUUUUUGCAUCGACGUAUUUUUGUAUAGUUACACAUAGCAGUAGUGGUUUAUAUGCAAAGCGCUACAUCUAUUCAGAUUAGCUGUAGCGCGUUUUGGCAAAUGCACUACAACUAUCCCCACGCGCACGACCGACCCUCUCUCUCACUCACACUCUCACUCUCACCCGCGUGCCGAUAACCGUCGUCGUGUGUCGCUGCCGCCGCCGCCUUCGUCCGUCCGCCGCCGAGGUACUCCCCUCCUUCCGUCCCUCCUCCCUCCUCGUCGCACAUCCUCCCUCUGCCUGUGGCUGCCCCUCCCUCCUCCUCCGCCGCCCUCCUCCCUCCGCUGCGGCCGCCCCUCCUCCCUCCGCCGCCGUCAGCCCUCCUCCCACCGCCCUCGACCUCACCGCCGCCACCCGAGCACACCCAGCACCGCCGCCUCCCGAUCCCGAUCCCACCCUCGCCGCCCCUAGCUACCUCUCCGUCGCCCCCACCCCCUGCCACUAGUUAGUACUAGAUUUAGUAGUAGUAGAUGUUAAUUUAGGGUUCAUAGCUAGUACUAGAUGUUGCUUAGUUAGUACUAGAUUUUUAGUAGUAGUAGAUGUUAAUUACUAGUUGUGAUCGUACUAGUUAACUAGGGCAGUAUGAUUAAUAGUAGUUGUAGUUGAACUACUUUAGUUGUAGUUGAACUAGUUUAGUAAGUAAAUUAAUAAACUAGUUGAACUAGUUGAAUUAAUAGAACUAGUGUAUUUUUAGUAAGAUAAUUAAUAUAACUAGUUGAACUACUUUAUUUUUAGAAAGAACUAGUUUUUUUCUAUUUAUAGUAAGUUUAUAUUUAGUAAGAACUAGUUGAAUUAAUAAAACUAGUUGAACAUGUCAUAUUUGUUGUUAUUUUUUAGUUUAAGCAAUUAUUCGGGAUGUAUUAGUGAUAACUUAUACGGUUUCAGGUGACCACCGUCGUCCCCAUCACCGACCCCCUCCGACAUCCCCGCCGUCUUUCCAGUCACCGACCCCCUCCGACAUCGAGGUGAGACCAGCCAAAUAUCCUUGUAUAUCUUGUGUUGUUGCUCAAAUAGGAUAUGUGGUUGCCCAAGUGGCCAUUCAUGUUCAGUUUACAUCUCCGAGUGGCCUAUGUUUUGCCGGAGUGUUGAUUAAUUUCCGUUCCGGCAAAUUUCAGGCACUCGAUAUGUCCUUUUUUAGCAAAGGUCAUGCCAGAUUUUUUCGUGAAUUCUGGCAUGACUUGUGCUAGAAUAUGUACAUGUUUAAUCUUUGAAUUAUGAACGUAGGAAAUGUCGUACUCGGACGACGACAGUCUCCCGGGGGAGUGCAGCUGGUGCCAUGACGAUCGAGGUAUGUGCGACAGGUUCGUUGAGCUGGACGAAGAUCGGCGCUUCAGCAUUAAGCUCAAGGAGACCUUCGAUGUUGAAAUGGUACGCAACAACGACAAGUGUUUUUUCAUAAUUAAGCAUGACUUCAACUAUUUUAACGUGUAAUUUUCAUAUUUUACAAUUCAACUAGCUUAUCCCAUGCCAUGCAAGACGCUAUGUCUUGGAGAGGAUGGGUUUUGAAGACCAUGAAAAUUUUGAAACAAAGAAAAUACACCUAAGGACCCAUCAUGAUAUGGAUUUUGAAGUAAAUCUAUGCAAUGCUCAGAGUGUAACCCAUUUUGGUUGCCAAAAUUGGGAAGCACUUUGCAAAAUGUAUGGUUUUUAUGAGGUUAUGAUUGUCACCAUGGAUCUUGGUGAUCCUGACAUCGAGCAAGACAAUAUGGACAUUUGGGUCCUUGUUGAUACGCUUCCGAUUGUACCGCUAUGUGAGUUUAUCAAACAUAGUUAUUAACUAAUUUAUAUUGUUUAUUUCAAAAUAGUUGAUAGCUUAUUUCCAUUGACAACUUAUUUUGAUUCUUCAAAGACUGUGCGGAAGAUGGUAGAUAAAACCCGCUACGACGAUGGCACCGAAUUAACGUAUAAGGAGAAAAAUCAUCUGAUCGCAUUUUGUACUCUUCUUGAGAAUUACAAUAACUAUUAUCGAACUCCUCCAAAUUAUGGUGAAUACAUGCCACUAGUGCAUGUGUUUUGAACCACGGUAACUUCUCUGGAGAUACCCUGGUAAGAUUUUUUACUAUUACGACAUCCGUGCAUCUUUUGCAUAUUUCUAAAACUAGUACAUCAUUGCUAACUACGAAGUUAUUAUUAUGUUUUUCAACAGAAACUCCCGAUGGAUUGUGUGCCUCAUCUGAUGUCUCUGAAUGGUCGCCUCUCAGUUCUGAACAUACUGCCAGGUAAAUCUAGGGAGCUUACCUGUGCAUAUCGGAUUUCUAAAACCGGUGAACACAUGUUCAUCAAAGAAUGGAAUAAAUGUAUGGACAUUCGCAAGGAGGUUCUUGCAAGUAACAUUCAGCGAAAGGCAAGAAUUGGAGACAGGCUAAUCUCCAUUCUCCAUAAUGGAGAGUCAGGGGCUCUCUUGUUUUUUGCUAUUUUACCUUAGAAAAUGUAGUAGGUCUUAAUCGAAUGUAGUAGGUCCUAUGAGUUACAAUAUGUUUAUUAUGUGGUAAUGUCUUAGAGUUGAUAAUGAGGAGUACUUUUGAUUACGACUAGUGACCAAUUUGCUAUGUGAUGUCAUUGAUGAAAACGAUGAUCUUGAGGAGGUGUUAUAUGACAAUGAUGUAUUAUGAUGAAAAGUUGUUAAUGAUAUGAUGAUGAUGAUGAUGAUAUUAUUAUAUUAUUGGGUGAAAGAACCGCGGAUUAGUUUCAAGUGGAUGGACAUCCACUUGAAACUAGUCCACGGUUCUUUCACCCCGUGAUGUAAUAACUCAUUAUGAUGUAAAAACAAUCUCUAAAUUCCUGUUGCAUGAAAACUUGUGUAAAGGUGUAUGAAUACAACAUGAAAUAAAAAAGAAAUAAAAUACUAAAUAAUAGUAGUAGCGCGGGAAAGGAGAAGCGCUACUACUAAUUACCAGUAGCGCUGUUCUGAAGAAGCGCUACUACUAAGUCAAUUUAGUAGUAGCGUGGAUCUAGGCGCGCUAUUGCUAAGCUUUAGCUGUAGCGCCUUAUCAGUAGCGCUCCUUCCCGCGCUACUGAUAGGCCUAAAACCAGCGCUGCUGCUAGGCUUUUCCCUAGUAGUGCAAGUGCCAACUUGACAUUGAUCCCAAUGUAAAUCGAUGGAUCAAAAGGUAUAUCGCUCCAUAAUUGGAUCCUUGCUUUACCUUUGUGCAUCUAGACCGGAUAUCAUGUUGAGUGUGGGAAUUUGUGCACUGUUUGAAGCCGCACCGAAGGAAAGCCACUAUGUGGUGGUCAAGCGAAUCUUUUGAUAUUUGGCUCAUACCCCAAACUUUGGCUUGUGGUACCCAAGAGGAGCAAACUUCAAGCUUGAAGGAUUUACGGAUUCCGAUUGGGCGAGAGACAAAGUGGAUAGGAAGUCCACUUCUGGAGGGUGCCAAUUUCUUGGUUGCUCUUUGGUGAGUUGGUCUUCCAAGAAGCAAAGUUGUGUGUCUCUCUCGUCCACCGAAGCGGAAUAUGUGGCGGUCAGUAGUUGUUGUGCACAACUCCUAUGGAUGAGGCAAACUUUAAUGGAAUACGGUGUCAUUUGUGACAAAGUGCCUCUUUGGUGUGAUAAUGAAAGUGCCAUCAAGAUUUCUCCCAACCCGGUGCAACACUUCAAGAUGAAGCACAUUGAGAUUCGGUAUCACUUCAUCCGGGAACAUAUUAGGUGAGGGGACAUCGAGCUCAAGUAUGUUAACACUCAUGAUAAUCUUGUAGAUAUUUUCACGAAGCCCUUGGAUGAAGCAAGAUUUCGCGAGUUAAGGCGUGAGCUAAAUAACAUUGAUUCGAGCAAUGUGACUAGAGUCCGUGCACACCCCACCUCACUCAACUUGUUGUCUAGUUUAGGUGUAGGCAUGGACAUAGGGGGAGUGUUGUUCUCUCAAUGAACUCUCCCUCCCCACAUUAUGCAUAAAUCGAUCAACUCUUUCACAUUAGCCAUUUUUGAUGGUGCCUGUGCUUCAAAGACGAGUGUUGGUCAUGGGCCCAAGGAUAAUUCUUCGCGGUGCCAUACCAAUUGACUCAAAAAUAGGUGGCUCCGGCCACCGCCCUCUCCUUUGAGAGGUGGUGUCGCAUGGUUUUUUCUUGUUGUCAUUUUCCUUUCUGCAUUUGUGUUGAGCGUUGUGUUGAGCCUCUCUUGUGUCCGAAGUUUCCUUGCGAAGACCUCCUUUUCGUGUGUUUGAAACCUGUUUUUCUUGACCUCACGGUACUACCGCAGCCUGCUAUGGUACUACCUCAUGUGGAGAGCAUGGUACUACCGCCCCAGCACGGAAGUAAUUUUUUACUGCCGCCUGGGAGAGCGGUACCACCACUUUGGUGCGGUACUUCAGCCCAAGCGGUACUACCGCGAUCAUGUGUGGUACUACCGCGCUGUCGCAGACGCAUAGGGAUAAGGACGGGCAGGGGGAGUUCUAACUCCCCCAUACCCAUUCUUCUGUUUCCCCACUUCAUCUCUCUCUCUCUCUCGCUCAAGAACGGGGCUGGAGUCCCUCGCCGGAUCUCCGCUUCCAGCUGCUCUCCUGCGAUUCCGUCCGGUGGGAUCGUUCCCCACCACGUGCUCUUGCCAUGGAACAAGGUCCUUCCCCAAAUCCCCCUCUCUUUUGGUUGUUUUAUUUGCCUCUAGGUUUUUGGGGAGAUGCUUUUGUUCUUGAGAUUUUAGGCUAGAUCUUUGCAAGAGUAGGAUGUAGGAGACUAGUAUUGCAUAGGGAUUAUACUUGAUAUGUUGUCUUGUGAUAGAGUUGAUCAACCGUACUACCGCUGUGGUUUCGCGGUUCUUCUCAGAUUCAAAGUUUGGUUCGGAUCUGACGCGGUGCGGUACUACCGCGCCUCAUGUGCGGUACUACCGCUCGACUGGUACUACCGCCCGUCUGGUGCGGUACUACCGCACGAGCUGUGGCACUAGGAUCUUACUACCGCUCCCAGCCCCGGUACUAUCGUGAUAUCACCGGUACUACCGCGACUAGGAGCGGUACUAAAAUUUUAGUACCGCAGCACCAGGCAGUACUACCGUUGGACCUAUUCUCUCUCAUGGCAAUUACCACGUAUGCUUUCUUCGUGUUUCUUUUGCUUUGCCGUGGUAUUUGCAUUGAUCCUUCUUGCUUGUCGUGGGUGUUUUACGCUUUGUGUCUCAGGGGGUGGCUCUCACCAUUCCAAUCCCAGUCGUGACACUGGCUCCAAGCGUCUGCGCAAUCAAGGUGAAGCACUAGAGGGCUCCAAUGCCCCCAAGCGCCAUGUCAAGGCCACCGCUAGCAAGCACAAAGAACCCGCUAAGGGCAUGGACGAGAUUCCCCCUUCUGAGUUCAUCCGUCCCAGGCAGAUCAACCCGUAUGUGAAUCCUCGUGCUACCGUCAGAGGCAGUGAAUUGCUUUGGACCAAUCAGCAGACUCUCACUUAUAUGGAUGUCUUCAAGAACAAGCAAAAUACCUACAUGGAUGUCAAGUGGAUAGACAUGCAUCACCUGAGGAAGGACAAGUUUCGUGAGUACUUUGGAGAAGCUAUGGAUUUGGUGGAGCAGUUUGGUAUUGAACAUGUGAUCUCUUUCCAUCUUGACUAUGACCAUGAGCUUAUCUGUCAGUUCUUUGCCUCAGUAUUCUUUCACCCUGGGGAGGAGUGGAGGAUGACAUGGAUGACCAAUGGCCAUCAGUUGACUGCUACCUGGAAGGAGUUCAUGGAUCUGCUCCAGGUUCCUGAUGACGGGCUCAACACACCCGUGGGUGUUCGCCCCCAUGCCAAUCCUGAGUCUGCUAACAAGGAUAAGAUUCAGCCGUUCUAUGUUGAGAAGAUGCUUCCCAGUGGCAAGUCGGCGUGGGUGCUCAACUACUUUCUGGAUAUCAUGUAUCGCAUCUUCCGCAACUCUCUGUUCCCUCGCACUGGUGACAAGGACAAGGUUCGUGCCUAUAUGGUGGAUAUGAUCCUCCUGUGCGAGCAGGCACGUGUAUUUCAGACUCAGCCACUUGAUGUCUCACACAUCAUGUGGUGUGAGCUUCGGUUUGCGGUGUUCAACCACAAGGUGCCUAUCUAUGGACCAUACCUGUUUCUGUUGAUCUCCAAGACUUGGGCGAACCAGUACCCUGGUGAUGAGUUCCUUGCUCCAGACUGGAUUUGGCAUGAUCCCAUCAGUCUCCAUGUCAAGCCCAACUGGGCCAACACUACUACUCGUGCUGAGGCAUCUGCUGCUAGGAGGGAUGUUGAUGAGGAUGAGGCUGGAGCAGAGGAUGUUGCUGAGGACAGUGCUGCUGGGUCUUCCCAUAGUUCCUCUGAGCCCUUGUGGGCCAAGAAGCUGAAGGACAAGAUGAAGACUCUUUUAUGCAUGCAAGCUAAGGGGCGGUACAAGACUCACGUGGCAUCCAAGGAGACUCGCCGCCGGGACAAGAAGAUCUUGAAGCUGUAUGGAGAGGACGUGUCUGGCGGUUCUGAGGAUCACAUCACUCCACAGGCUGAGUGGAUGGUGAAACAAGGCUACAAGUGGACUGAUUCUGAGGAGGACAUCGAGGAGACCAUUCCUGCCGCCGGGUCUGACGAGGAGCGUUGGGACGAUUUCUCUGCUUGAGCCACUCCUUGUGUGUACGUGUCCUCUCUGCCUUUUUGGAGUCUCGAUGCCAAAGGGGGAGAGAGUGUAGGGAUUUGCGAGUCAUGUGUCGUGUUCGAUGUGUUUGCAUGUCUCAUUUGAACCUUGUUUCGGUUGUUUCGGUUGCUUUGGUUUUGUUUGACCUUUAUAUGGUGUAAGACAUAUGCACUCUACCUAUCUUAGUGAGUUUGUGAUAUAUUGUGCUACCUAUAUUUAUGCUCUUGCUUAGAUGUUAGUCUUACCCUUGCAAGAUCAUGCAUUAUCUCUAAAAUAUAGGGGGAGUGUUGAUCCUAGUUUGUGUGUUGUGAAGUCCAAAGCAUCCAUCUAGAUUGCACACAUCUAGGGGGAGACUGUCUAUAUUUUAGAGAGGAGGGGUUCGCCUCUGCUCUAUACUAUUUCUCCGUGUGCAAAUCCCGUAUUGUCAUCAAUCCACCUAAAAGGGGGAGAUUGUAAGGGCAUAUUUAUCCCUAAGUGUUUUGGUGAUUGAUGACAAUGCUUUUGCGGACUAAUCGUGUGCCUUGAGUUUCUCAGAUGCUUCAUCGCUAGGCACAAGACGGUUCGGUGCCCCUCGAAGACUAUUGAAGAUGGCGUUUUUCUACGUUUCUUUUUGGUGGAUUUGAGUCGUAGGAGAGCCGUACUAUCAAGAGGGGGUCCGUGUCGAAAAGGUUUAGGUGGAAUCAUCACGUACACGUUUCCUUCCUUGUCUGCACCUUUCCCUUGCACUUUGGACCAUCCCCCAUUUAUCCUCUAUGCGAUUGUGCUGGCUGUUGUUGCUGAGCUUUCGGUAGUACUGCUCCAUGGAGCGGUAGUACCGCAAGCACCUGCGGUAGUACCGUGCCUCUGUGUGGUAGUACCGCGGGAGCCCAGGGUAGUACCGCUCCUUUGGAGUCGUAGUACCGUGGCUCGCUGGCCAAGUACCGCUGCUUCGCGGUAGUAGGGGCGGAUGUAAUUUUUUACAUCCCCACCUGCAUGGUAGUACCACACGUCGUGUGUGGUAGUACCGCAGGAGCCCACGGUAGUACCGCUUCUCUGGAGCCAUAGUACCAUGGCUCCCUGGACAAGUGCCGCUGCUUCAUGGUAGUAGGGGCGGAUGUAAUUUUUUACAUCCGCGCCCCCACGGUAGUACCACACUUCGAGCGCGGUAGUACCGUGAUGGAUGUUUGCAUCGUUUUUUUUCCAGCAGAAGUAGGCACGGAUAUAUUUUUAUUCAUCCGCGCCCUUCCUAGGCUAGGACUUUCCUGCCUCGCGGUUGUACCGCUAGAGGGAGCGGUAGUACCGCGCUCGCGGUAGUACUGAUCUCAGUCAGGCAUGUUCUAGUCUCUGCAGCUGCCGCGGUAGUACUGUGGUCCCUCACGGUAGUACCGCGUGCCCUUGCGAUAGUACUGCGUUUCUGGAGCGGUAGUACCGCAUGUCGCAGGCUGGAUUAGUGGAUAACGGUUGGAUUUUGUCCACAACUAUAAAAGGGGUGUCUCCUACCUCUAGUUGACCACCUCUUCCAUCCCUAAGCUCCAUUGUUGCUCCGAGCUCCAUUUUCGCCCGAUCUCUCUCCCUUGCCAAUCAAACUUGUUGAUUUACUCAGGAUUGGUUGAGGAGGCCCCGAUCUACACUUCGACCAAGAGAAAAUUGAUUCCCCCCAACUAAUCCCUAGCGGAUCUUGUUACUCUUGGGUGUUUGAGCACCCUAGACGGUUGAGGUCACCUCGGAGCCAAAGUCCAUUGUGGUGAAGCUUCGUGGUGUCAUUGGGAGCCUCCAAUUAAGUUGUGGAGAUUGCCCCAACCUUGUUUGUAAAGGUUCGGUCGCUGCCUUCAAGGGCACCAAUAGUGGAAUCACGGCAUCUCGGAUUGUGUGAGGGUGUGAGUUGAUUACGGUGGCCCUAGUGGUUUCUUGGGGAGCAUUGUUCCUCCACACCGCUCUAAGGGAGACGUACUUCCCCUCAAAAGGAAGGAAUUUCGGUAACACAUCCUCGUCUCCACCGGCUCCACUCUUGGUUAUCUCGUGCCUUUACUUGUGCAAGCUUAUUUGUGUUGCAUCCUUUUCUUGCUUUUGUACUAGUUGUUAUUGCAUCAUAUAGGUUGCUCACUUAGUUGCAUAUCUAGACAACCUACUUUGAUGCUAAGUUUAAAUUGGUAAAGAAAAGAUUAAAAAGUGUUAGUUGCCUAUUCGCCCCCCCCCUAGUCAACUAUAUCGAUCCUUUCACCUUCCCCUAGGAGCAUGCGUCGUAGUACUUUGCUUCGAGGGCAAGUAGACUUUUGCAAUAAGUAUAUGAGUUCUUUAUGACUAAUGUGAGUCCAUGGAUUAUACGCACUCUCACCCUUCCACAUUGCUAGCCUCUAUUAUGCCGCGCAACUUUCGCCAGUAUCAUGCACCCACCAUUACCUUCCUCAAAACAGCCACCAUACCUACCUAUUAUGGCAUUUCCAUAGCCAUUCCGAGAUAUAUUGCCAUGCAACUUUCCACCAUUCCGUUUAUUAUGACAUGCCCCAUCAUUGUCAUAUUGCUCUUUGCAUGAUCAUGUAGUUGACAUUGUAUUUGCGGCAAAGCCACCUCCAUAAUUUUUCAUACAUGUCACUCUUGGUUCAUUGCAUAUCCCGGUACACCACCGAAGGCAUUCAUGUAGAGUCAUAUUUUGUUCUAAGUAUUGAGUUGUAAUUCUUGAGUUGUAAAUCAAUAAAAGUGUGAUGAUCUUCAUUAUUAGAGCAUUGUCCCAAGCGAGGAAAGGAUGAUGAAGACUAUGAUUCCCCCACAAGUCGGGAUGAGACUUCGGACUUUAUAAAAAUAAAAGAGGCCAAAGAAGCCCAUACAAAAAAAGGAGGCCAAAGAAGCCCACCAAAUAAAAAAGAGAAAAAAGAUAAAAAAGGGGAAAAUGAUGGGAGAAAAGAGAGAAGGGACAAUGCUACUAUCUUUUUUUCCACGCUUAUGCUUCAAAGUAGCACCAUGAUCUUCAUGAUAGAGAGUCUCCUAUGUUGUCACUUUUAUAUACUAGUGGGAAUUUUUCAUUAUAGAACUUGGCUUGCAUAUUCCAAUGGUUGGCUUCCUCAAAAUGCCCUAGGUCUUCAUGAGCAAGCAAGUUGGAUGCACACCCACUUAGUUCUUUUGUUGAGAUUUUAUAUAUUUAUAGCUCUAGUGCAUCCAUUGCAUGGCAAUCCCUACUCACUCACAUUGAUAUCUAUUAAUGGGCAUCUCCAUAUCCCGUUGAUACGCCUAGUUGAUGUGAGACUAUCUUCUCCCUUUUUGUCUUCACAACCACCACCCUAUUCCACAUAUAGUGCUAUGUCCAUGGCUUGCGCUCAUGUAUUGCGUAAGAGUUGAAAAAGCUGAAGCGCGUUAAAAAGUAUGAACCAAUUGCUUGGCUGAAACCGGGGUUGUGCAUGAUGGGAGUAUUUUGUGUGAUGAAAAUGAAGCAUGGCCUAACUAUAUGAUUUUGUAGGGAUGAGCUUUCUUUGGCUAUGCUAUUUUGAUAAGACAUGAUUACUUGUUAGUAUGCUUGAAGUAUUACUAUUUUUAUGUUUUAUGAGCUUUUAUCUUGAAUCAUUUGGAUCUAAGCAUUCAUGUCACAAUAAAGAAAAUCACAUUGAGAAUUAUGCUAGAUAGCAUUCCACAUCAAAAAUUCUAAUUUUAUCAUUUACCUACUCGAGGACGAGCAGGAAUUAAGCUUGGGGAUGCUUGAUACGUCUCCAACGUAUCUAUAAUUUUUGAUUGUUCCAUGCUAUUAUAGUACCUGUUUUGGAUGUUUAUGGGCUUUACUUUACACUUUUAUAUCAUUUUUGGAACUAACCUACUAACUGGAGGCCCAGCUCGAAUUGCUGUUUUUUUUUGCCUAUUUCAGUGUUUCGAAGAAAAGGAAUAUCAAACAGAGUCCAAACGGAUUGAAACCUUCAGGAGCAAUCUUUUUGGAACAAACACAAUCCAGGAGACUUGGAGUGGACGUCAAGGAGCAACCGAGGCGGCACGAGCUAGGAGGGCGCGCCCUAGGAGGGUGGGCGUGCCCCCACCCUCGUGGGCCCCUCGUGGCUCCCCUAACCUACCUCCUUUGCCUAUAUAUAUCCACGUACCCUGAAAACAUCCAGGAGCACCACGAAAAACUAUUUCCACCGCCGCAACCUUAUGUAUCCGCGAGAUCCAAUCUUGGAGCCUUUGCCGGUGCUCCGCCGGAGGGGGAAUCGACCACGGAGGGCCUCUACAUAUCUCCAAGGCCUCUCCGAUGAGUUGUGAGUAGGUUACCACAGACCUUCGAGUCCAUAGUUAUUAGCUAUAUGGCUUCUUCUCUCUCUUUGAAUCUCAAUACAAAGUUCUCCUCGAUCUUCUUGGAGAUCUAUUCGAUGUAACUCUUUUUGCGGUAUGUUUGUCGAGAUCCGAUGAAUUGUGGGUUUAUGAUCAAGUUUAUCUAUGAGAAAUAUUUGAAUCUCCUAUGAAUUCUUUUAUGUAUGAUUGGUUAUCUUUGCAAGUCUCUUCGAAUUAUCAGUUUGGUUUGGCCUACUAGAUUGAUCUUUCUUGCAAUGGGAUAAGUGCUUAGCUUUGGGUUCAAUCUUGCGGUGUCCUUUCCCAAUGACAGCAGGGGCAGCAAGGCACGUAUUGUAUUGUUGCCAUCAACGAUAAAAAGAUGGGGUUUAUAUCAUAUUGCAUGAGUUUAUCCCUCUACAUCAUGUCAUCUUUCUUAAUGUGUUACUCUGUUCUUCAUGAACUUAAUAUUCUAGAUGCAGGUAGGAGUCAGUCGAUGUGUGGAGUAAUAGUAGUAGAUGUAGAAUUGUUUCGAUCUACUUUUCACGGACAUGAUGCCUAUAUACAUGAUCAUGCCUAGAUAAUCGCAUAGCUAUGCACUUUUCUAUCAAUUGCUCAACAGUAAUUUGUUCACCCACCGUAAUACUUAUGCUAUCUUGAGAUAAGCCACUAGUGAAACCUAUGGCCCCCGGGUCUAUCUUUUAUCAUAUAAGUUUUCCAUCUACUUUUAUUUGCAAUCUUUACUUUCCAAUCUAUAUCAUAAAAAUACCAAAAAUAUUUAUCUUAUCUUAUUAUCUCUAUUAGAUCUCACUUUCGCAAGUUACCAUGAAGGGAUUGACAACCCCUUUAUCACGUUGGUUGUGAGGUUCUUGUUUGUUUGUGUAGGUACGAGGGACUUCUAUGGAGCCUCCUACUGGAUUGAUACCUUGGUUCUCAAAAACUGAGGGAAAUACUUAUGCUACUUUGCUGCAUCACCCUUUCCUCUUCAAGGGAAAACCAACGCAGUGCUCUAGAGGUAGCAGAAGUUAACAGGUUAACUGAAGAGAUCUCUUAACUGAAUGUUCAGUAGCCAUGAUGUGCUUAGAAGUCUUGAAUGUGUUCAGUAGCCAUGGUUAACUGGAUUUUAGUCCUUAACUGAACAUUUUUUUCAUGUUAAUUGAACUUUGUCAGUCAUUUUCACACGUUGCAUUGCUUUGGUUGUAGGUCACAUGUGAUUUCUGGCGCUGGGAGAUGGAAUAUGUGCAGCAUCUGGUUGAAACUAGAGUUCUUGUUGGUAAUGCUGCUGUAGAUGCAAUUGGUGCAACUGAGGACAUGAGGGAAGAGCUUGAGAGGAAGAGGACUGAGUGGAUGGCAGGAAGAAACUUAGCUGGAAGGGCCUUGGCUAGAAGAGGCAUUGCAGGAAGGGUGAGUUUUGACAGCCCUAAUGAGAAAAACCUUGCUACCAAGCAGCAAGUUGCUAUGCUUCUUGGAUUAGGUAGAGAGAUCCUGCUAGUGCUAAAGCUUCUUAUGGCUAGUGUUGUGGUUCUUUGUGUGAUGUAUUUCAUCUCCAUUAUGAAGAAGUGAGAUGUUGAUAAAUUAGUAGGCGUUUGAGCUAAAUAUGUAUCUAUGGCUGUAAUGGAUAUGAUGUUAUUUUGGCUGUAUGGUUGUAAUGGAUAUGUCUCUAUCAAGUAAUAUAAAUGUUUCAGUGUCAAUGUUGAAUCUUCCAAUUUGUUGUCAAUAUUCAGUUAACUUAUCUUCUCUGAGCUCUCUGAGCUGAACUUGGUCUUUGUCUUUUCUGAGCCAACAUGUAUGCGGAGAACAAUAUAGCCAAAUAUUUAGUUAAAUGAGCUUGAUUGAUAUGGCUAAAAUGUAAGGAACUUAACUGAACAAGGAUUCAGUUAAAUGAGAUUGAUUGAUAUGGCCAAAAUAUAACUGAACUUAACUGAACAAAGAUUCAGUUAACUGAUUGGUCCACAACCAUGCACACUGGCACCCUACAACUUGCAUUGUAUGUUUGCCUUUGGUCCACAACCAGCAGAUCCACCUUUGCUUCCUCCCCAGCCACAAUUAUAUCUCUUCCACCACCAGAUCCAUCACCACUCGUUCCCCUUCUUCUCUUCUUCCUCCAGCACCACAAAGUUCCAUCUCUCUUCAACCAUGGUGUCAUGGGAUGAUCACCCUAGCUCUUCUGGAGACGACUCUGUUACCAGCAAGGUUGGUCAUCCCCUCCUCGUCUCCUCCUCAUCUCCUACUAGGGUUACCAAUAGCUAGGGUUUUCUUUCUUCGUUCUGAAUCCAAUCUGGAUUUGUUUUAGGCUCCUGCCACAAUCUUCUAUGAGGAAUGGAGAGGCCUGGCCAUAGAUUUGCCUAGUUUUACGUGUCAGCAUGGAACUUUGUGUGAGAAGGUUGUGGCAUUUGAAUCAAUUGAUACUGGCAGGAGGUUCCUAACCUGUGCCCACAAGGUUAGUACAAAUUCAUUCACACUGUCAAAAGUUUAAAAAGUUCAAAUUUUAGUUAUUUUUCAGUAGUCAUUUUGUAUGCCAUUUAAAGUGCUAUGUGUAGUUAACUGAAUUUUUUGAGUAGUUAACUGAAUUUCUUGAUUAGUUAACUGAAAUUAUGUUUGUUUUAAAUUCAUAGGAAGUACCUAGCUGCAACUAUGUGGAGUGGGUUGACCCUGAGUGGCCUAAUGCUAUGAAGAUGAGCCUAGAUAAGAUAUGGAGCAUGUAUGAAGAGGAGACAAAACAGAAUCUCAGACAAAAUGUUCUGAAUGCCGAGGAAAACUUGAAGAUUUUGGAAGAGAAGAAGAAGUUGGAAAAAGAGCUUAGCAAUUUCAAAGUUGAUUUUGCUAAUCUGGUGGCUGAGAAGGAGCAUGCAAUUAGCCAAUUAGGUAGCACACAAAUUGCUAUGGCUGAUCUUAGGGAAGAGCUUGAGAAGAGGAAGAUGAAUGACAAAACAGUAACAAGCAUUCAUCAGGUAUUCAGGGCUAAGGCAGAAAAAGAGAGAGAUCAAGUGAUCCAGGAGAGGAACCAAGUCAUUUGAGAGAGGGAUAAAUUAAAGCAAGAGAAGAGAAAUCUUGAAUACAUGAUUGGUGACUUGCUCAAACACAAAGAGGACACCAAGGAGAAGAUAAGGAAGCUUAAGGGGAUGCUGGAUGAUUUUGAUUGAGCUGAUGUUGUACUACAUGCUGAAUGAUUUAACUGAUUUCCAGUUUCCAGAUGUUGUACUGAUGUUGUACUAGAUGCUUAAUGAAUUUGAUUGAACUAAUGUUGUACUAGAUGCUCAAUUUCCAGUUUGAUGUUAUUGAAGCCAAUUUCCAGUUGCAGAUGGCUAAAGACUUUUGAGUGACAUAGAUAAUAACUGCAAGAAUUCAUUUAGUUGUUGUUUAUUUGGUGCUGACAAAAGACAGAAAUGUUGAACUGAAUGUUGACAAUAAUCAGUUAAACAUCAACAGUCAGAUAGCUGACAACAUUCAGCAUACCUAACAAUGACAGAAACACUAAAACAAUUGCUCAACAUAGUAACUGACAACAACUGAAUAUGACAGCAACAAUGACAACUGAAGAUGCAUUUCAUAGUACUUGUCCACAAAUAUAUAGUUCAGCAGACAGUGAAGCCAUAACAUCACAUUACCAAAAGAAGACCAACAGUAACAAUUAACUUAUGUACUCACAUUAUACAAGCACACCUAAGCAAACAUCUCUAAUUAUAAGUUAUAUGCUGAAAAUAGUAUACUUUCAGCAUACCUAACUAACCACCUUCUUCACUUCUUCAGCCCACUGUUCAGUUGUUCAUCUUCUUCAAGCGCUCUGACCAGCAAACCUCAGCUGCACCUUCUUCAGGUAUCUUCCUCUUCUUUUUGUUCUCUGCCACCUCUGCAUGUGCUUCAAGUGCCAAGACCACCUCCACCUCCUGCUUGACGAUGUCAGGAACAUCUGGAAGCAGGUCAACAUCAAUGGGGCAGUGCUUGUCACCCUCCCUGCCGACAGGCGCCACCAUCUAGACCUUCGGCUCGGGGACGGCAGGCGCCGCCAUCUGGACCUCUGGAUCGUCAUCAGAGAGGACGAUCACCUCUGGCUCCUCCUAGCCAGUCGACCAAGACGAGUCGGCGGCAUAACCAGAGUCGUUGUCGGAGCCAGAGUCGUAGUGCGAGUCGGACGAGAUGUAAUCGGAGUCGUCAUCGUGCCCGAGGAGGUCGGGCUGGUAGUGGUCCCAGUAGGCUGUGUUGACAGGCGCGAGAACGGCCACCUCGACGUUGUAGACGCGCUCCACUCGUGAGCCAGCGCACGACGGAUCCGGCUGCCGCGGUGCGGUGGCGGACCUAUACCUCCACCUCCGGGCGCGCUGGCCCGGGUCGUCAGAGCGUGUCUCCUGCAUCACGAAGGGGAGGACGAGCGCAGGAGGGAUACCGAGGCGGUCGGUGCAGGCGCGGUCCAGCUCGUCGUCGAUCAUGAUCUUCAGGAGGCCAUGCACGUGCUGACGCAACAUCCCAAUGCUCGGGAACCACUUCCUGAUCCCCGUCAGGUCUACUCGCAUCGCCUGGUCGUCGCCUGCGAGGUCAUCGAUGACCCUCUGCGAGGCAGGGUUGUUCUCCAUGUCGGCGGCGGCGGUGUGGUCGUCGGCUGCGACUGAGCAAGGAGAAACCAAGGCGACGCGAGUGGCGAGUGGCGGUCGGGUGGGUGGGCUUAAAGACAGAGGAGGGGAAACUGAAACGGCAUGCAGACAACGGAGUGCACGGCCACCGCAUAUAAUGUGCAACGAACGCUGGACCUAAGGGCCACCACGAAAUAAUAAGGUGUGUGUCAAGUAGCAUUUAGUCAGACUACUAGUACUAUCCCACUGGCAAUGCAUGCAUCUCUUCAUACCACAUGCCUGGGUUCGAGCCCCAGGCCAACCAUUUUUUUUUUGUUUUUUUGAAUCAAAAAUUCAUUUUCACCUAGUUAGUGCUGAUCAGAAAUACACCUAGUUACAUUCAGGCCAACCAUUUUUAAUGUCUUUUUUCAACCAAAACUAUUAGUGUUGAUCAGAUCAAAACACUCAGAUUGAUCUGUAUGAACUCAAUCAAUCAACUUUCAUAAAUUUGAGUCAAAACAUUCAGAUGAGAUGAGUACUAACUUGCAUAAAUUUCAGUCAAACAUGCAGUUAACAGAAUGAGCCAAUGAUUGAACUACAUUUCAAUAGUUUCAAACACUGAAUGGCUGGUACAUUUGAAUAGUUUCAAGCACUCAGAAUGAAGUUUUUGACAAAAAAUGAGAUGACUGCAAGUGCAACACCAGUGAUUCGUCUAAACUCAUCAAACAUAUUGACUCGUUUGUGGUUCUUGGGCACAUGUGCACUUGGCCCUGCUUGCUUCUUAUCCUCAGCUCUUCUUCUCUUGGCCUCUUCUUGCUGUUUCCUCUUUGCUUCUUGAUCUUCCUUCCUCUUCAGUGCUACCUCUGCUCUCUUUUCUUCUUGUUCUUCUUUUCUCUUAAGUGUUGCCUCUGCUUUAGCUGCAACUUUCCUUGCUGCUGUUUCCUCAGCCUUCUUGUCUUUUGCUGCUCUUCUUCUUCUUGCUGCCUGCUCUGCUUUCCUGAUAGCAAUAUCUUUCCUUUUUGCUUCUGCCUCCUCUGCUCUUUUCUCUGCCAACUCAUUCAUGGACUCCAGUGUUGCAUCUCUUCUGGCUGCCAUCUGCCUUUCUUUGUCCUUCUUCAUCUUCAACAGCUUCAUGGUCAGAUUCCCAUCAGUUGUAGCUAUUGUAGCUAUUGUUGUAUGUGUUGUAGCUUGAGAAUUAGCUGCCAUAGAGACAAAUGUUGAAUCUGGCACAAUGGUUUCAUUGUAAUCUCUAGGCACUGGUCUAGCUUGCUGCAUCCUGUGAAGCAUUGUACAUCCAAAGUCCUGCACCUGUUCAAAGACAAGAGGUGGACACAACUGAUAAGCAUCAUAGCAUACUAUAAAGCAUUCUACAUUUUAAUUGAUUAGACACAACUGAUAAAAGGUGGACAAAAGAUUAGCAUUUCCUUGAAAUACAACUGGUGUAUCAUAUUCUUCAUCUUCUUGAGCAACAUUUUGGGUAGUAUGGACCUCCUCCUGUGUGAGUUGGCCAUCAUCUUGUGUUACAUUGACCUCCUGCCGUGGUACUUGGGCAUCAUCUUCUGCUAGAUUAAUCUCAUCUUGUGUGAGUUGGCCACCAUCUUGUGUUAGAUUGAAUUCCUUCUGUGGGAGUUGGCAUUCUUGUUGAGCAGCAUGUGGUACUUGGUUAGCAGCUUGUUGGUCAUCAUCUGACACAUCAUCAGGUAUAGCCCUUGGCACCCUUCUCACAUGUUUCUUUUGCAAAAUGUCAGCCUUCCUUUGAUUGCAUCCUUUGAUGUUGUGGCCUGAUCCAUGGCAGUAGGAGCAUGUUAUGUUAACUCCAUGUCUGCUCAUCACCUUGGUUCCAUCUUUCUUUUCAAUCUCAUAAGGCUGCUUUCUCCUACUCUUGUUUGAAGGCCUCCCUACUUUUUUUCAUACACAGGUGGCUUGAUUUCACACCCAUUCAUCUUCUUCCACUCUCUCCUAUCUCUGCAAGGCUUGAUAAUUGGUUGGUAUGCUAGCUUGAAUGCCUCAAUACUGUAGCAAGAGUGCACCAAAGUCUCAGAGUCAAUUCUUUCAUGUCUGCAGCAUGCAAUUGCAUGGUGACAUGGAACUCCACUAAGAUCCCACCUCUUGCAUGUACAACUCUCUUCCUUGAUCUCAACAAUGUAUGUCUUGUUCUUGUUGUCAACCUGGAAAAUGCCAUCACCAGCCCCUGAAACCAUGCAUGUAGAUGACAGCUCAAUAUUCUUUUCAACUCUUUUCCUUAUUUUUGGGCAUAUAGAGCCAGGCCAGUUGUCUGACUCCUUUCUUUUAUUGUAGAAUCUGACCAUGAGCUGGGUUUUGAUCUUGUCAACCAUUGAUCUGAUCAGCAUCUCCCUAGCCUCAAGGAUAUAUUUGUUGAAAACCUCACAAUUGUUGUUCAGAAGGAUAUCACACUUAGGCAAUUCUCUUUGGAAACCCCUGACCCAAGUGUUUGGUGGUAGUUGCUCAAGCCACGUGUAGGCUUCCAAGCUCAUGGCCUUUAGUUCCUCCAUGUUUGCAGCCCAAAGUUCAGGUGUUGUGCUCCUUGCACACUUCCAUAACUGGUUCUUCAGUACAUCUCCUUUGUGUGUUUGCUGAAAAUUCUGCCAUAUAUGCCCGACACAAUGUCUGUGCUCUGAAUCAGGAAAGUGCUGCCUCACUCCCUUGAUCAGCCCCUUUUGUUCGUGUGACAUAAUAGUCCAUGGCUCUGUGUUGAGUAUUCCCAAGUCACUCUUCAGGUUUGACAAAAACCAUUUCCACGUAUCAGUGUUCUGUACAUCCACAACUGCAAAUGCCAGAGGGUAAAUGCAGUCAUUGGGAUCCAUUCCAACAACACACAACAUAACACCUCCACACUUUCUCUUCAGGUGACAUCCAUCUAAACAUAAGACAGGCCUGUAGGCUUGCAUGAAACCCCUUUCGCAGGCAUCCAGAGAGAAAUAGCAACUUCCAAAUAUGCCAUCAUUGACACCCACAUAGAAAGAGGUACAUGGGUUUGAUGUUUUGACUUCUUGUGCAUAAUCCCACAUGCUGUUGUACUGCUCUAACCCAUCUCCUUCAAGGACCUUCUUGACUAGUCUCUUAGCCCUUCUAAGUUUGCUCCUUGUAGCUGUCAUGUUCCAGUCCUUCUGAACCACCCUUGCAAAAUUCUUCAUGUUCAUGUUUUCAUCUACUCUGAAAGAAUCAAUGUAUUUUCCUGCCAUGAAGGGAGCAGUGAAUGACUUCACAUACCAUUUCUUUAUGCAGGUAUGCUUUGGAUUGUAUUUCUUGACCAUCAAGCAUUUUUUCUGCAAUCAAAUGAUGUAAACAAAGACCAAGGGCAACCUUCUUCACAAAUGGCUUGCAGUCUUUUCCUAUCAUUUCUGGGGCACUUAAUGUCAACCCUUUCCCUACAGCUGUACUCUUUGAUAGCUUUCCUUAGUAACUCAACACUUGCAAAUGUCUGUCCCACUUGGAACUCUGGUUUAGACAGGUCUGCUUAUCUGAAACUUUUGAAAUUGAGCUUAACCUUAUCUUCAUCAGAAGAAGGCAAACACAGGUCCACAUCUUCAAUAGGAUCAUCAGGUUGUUCUUCGACUGCUAAACCUUUACCUUUAUCACAAUCAACAUUUCUGUCAAACAAGUCAUCAUCAUCUUUCAGAUCAAUAUCUGAAUCAACAAGUUGUGGAUUGAAAUCUUCAUCAAAACCAUGAAUUGCUGAAGAUCUCAUUGCUGAAUCACCAAUUCCAUCUUCUGCAUCCAUGUUUAAAACCCUACAGGUUUUCCUUCUGCCCCUAAACUCAAAUUGAAAUGUAUGAAUAUAUUCUCCUGGCCGAGGAGGACCUGGUAUGUACUCCUCUUCUUCUGACUCUUCCUCACUUUCCGCAUCAUAUAAUUGAUCUUGCUCAGCCUGCUCCUCUUGCACUUGCUCAGCAUUUUCCUCUUGCACUUGGUCAGAAUGAUCCUCCUGCACUGGCUGUGACUGCUCCUCUUGCACUUGCUCCUUCUUAGGCCUCAGGCCACUGAAUUUGGCCAAAGGAGGAUCCUCAUCAUCAGAAUGAAUUGGAACAGAGGAAAUAUAUGACCUCAUGUUGUCAUCAUGAUCAACAAAUAUCUGCUGGAAAUGGUUCCCAUUCGGAACACAAUCCUUCAUGUUCUCUGUCAUUGUGUUGUCCCCUAACUUAAUUUCUCUUAAGCCAUUCUUAUAGACUGUCAGUCCAGGAACACACCAGUAAGCCCUUAUCCUGCCGUCAAACUCAUACCCAAUUUCCUCCACCAGACUAGCAACAACUGUAGGUGUCCAAUUAUCUAUAUCACAGUUGUCAUACCAAAUGGAGUGGCCCUUGUGAUAACCCCUAUGCUUGCCUGCACAUAGGAAAUAGCCACCAUGUAUGACAUCAACAAAGAAGUGGUUGCUUAGGGGGCCUGCAAAACAAAUGAAAUGAAAAAAAUCUUCAGACAGACAGUAAUAACGGAGAUGAAGACAAUGCAACUGCACAAUGCAACAACAGACAGUAAUAACAGAGAUGAAGAGACAAUGCAACUGCACAAUGACACAACCAUGCUAUUUGAGAUCAUCUGGUCUAGGAAAUUGACACAAUGUAACUGCACCAGUCUAACACAACUGUCAAUGUUCAGACAAAAAAAUGUUCAGACAAAAAAAUGUUCAGACAAAAAAUGUUCAACCACUUGAAGACAUGACCCAAACAUGCUAUUUGGAAGCAUCGUUACUACAAAUAUGCUCAGUGUAAGUGCACCAAUCUAACCGAAAUGUCAAUUUUCAUACAGGUUUAGAAAUAGACAACGUAGACAAAUGUAUCAGAUAUAGGUUCAAAAAUAGAUAACUGAAAGUUCAGACAUUUCCAGAACAAAACGAUGGCAUUCAUGGCAUAUCAAGUAAACAAAUGUAUGAUCUUUUACAUCCAAAAGCCUGUUCCUUUGGUGGAUCUGGCAAACAAACAGUCAUCUCAUUAACAAAACAACAUAUGGUCGACGCAUGUAACCUAAUUUAAGCUAACAUUGACGGACAAAAAAACAGGGCAUCCCCUUUGCCUAACAAUUCGAGCAAUCAAAACCUUAAUUACCUUUGUGCAACCAUAUUUCAUCUACAAAUAACCUAUUGAAAGGCCUCGUGAAACCCUAAUUUGGAUCUGCCACUAACUUCACCAUCCACGACUAAAACCCUACAUACGCACCCCUAAACCCGUGACAAAAAAGAGGGCCAAGAACCCUAAACCCUACCCCGUAUGCGCAAUUGAGUACGGCGCGCAAUCUUUCCUGGAGCUAAAAUGGACAGAUCAGGCAGAGAAGGUGCUGACGACGGCGACGUACCAUACAACGGCGGCUCGGCAUGAUCCUCACGACAGGAGGGAGCGAGAGGAACAUCACGCAGGCCCCUACCAAACGGAGCAGAUGGCGGCGGCUCGGCGUUCGAUGAUGAGCUCAUGGCGGGCGUCGCCACAGACCGCCACGCCCGGCGAGGUCGAGGUCGCACCUCGGUAGAGACGACGAACAGGGGAAGGGAGCGGAGCGGAGCAGGGGAGGGGAGCAGAGCGACUAGGUCUGGUCCGACCAAGUGGAUGGAUCGGUCCGACCAGGUGGCUGAUGUUUUAUUGCCCAUCAUUUUUGCAAAAAAAAACCUCGCAUUCCCCCCAAUCCCCCCGCCCAGGGCGUCUGGUGAUGAGCUGGCGGUCAAAGCCCACGUGGACACGCCAGUCAACCGCCAAGUCAGCAGAUACAUAGAGGAAAUGGUAUUUUGGACCGUAGACGACCACCUGAGACAAGUUGUAGGACUGUAUUUUGGGUAUUUGCAAGUACGAGGAGAAAUGCGGCCAAGGCGACAAGUAUGAGGACCUGUAGUGAAUUUUUCUCAUGUUAAAAUAAAGGGACCUUUCAAAAUUAAAACUGAGUGGUAAGAUUAAAAAUUAGCUCCAUUCUUGGCAACCAACUAGAGCUGCAAGUAAGGACCAACGGAGGAAAACUGAGGAGAGGUGGAUCAAGCCCCUGCAUGACAUUGUAAAUGUUAAACAUUGUAAAGGUUGAAGUUGAGUCCGACUGUCAACCACUAAUAAUUGAAGCGAUCCAUGAUGCCAUUACUUUGGUGUCGACCCUGCGGUUUAUGCUGAAUGUCUCCAGCUAGCGGUGAAUCUUCGCAAAUAAUCAUAGUGCUAAUCAUGUCACUGAUAGCCAAGCAAAGGCUACUUUCAGUUCUAGCUAGAACAUCAGCUUAUUGGGAUUCAGAUCCCAGGACUUCAUUUCAUCACAACUUGUAAAUGUUAUUGCUAUUAUACGAUGAAUAGAGUCCUAUAUGUUGUACAGCAUUAUUUAUUUACUAUUGAGAAAGACCAAGGAUUGACAUUAUUUAUUUAUUAUGUCGUUGGAUCAAUAUUUUGUAUCGCAGGUUUUGCAGGCACUUGAGAAAAAGAAGAACAGAACGUAAUAUAGGAAGAGUUUCCCAAAUUUCUAUUGCCAUUUAAUUAAAGUCUUUUUUAUCGCUGGAUGUGAAUGCUUGUGGCAAGUUACUCAUGAGAGCCAUCAUCAUCACAUACAAAAAAAAGGUGAAAAUUCCCAUACACAGUUAGUUGCUCAAACUGAAAAUAGAUGAACUAUACAUCCUGUCUAAAGUAAAUACUGUUUCACAUCAGACGAGAUACACUGGCCCAUUUGCACAGUUUGAAACAACAGCAUCACAUCUACGAGUAAGGUUGCCGCCCAACAAACUCGUAAACAGUUUGUGGUUGUUUUAACCUAAUCUCAAGCAUCCACCAGGAAGCAAGAACCAGAACUUGUGUGCGUUCUUGACAAAAUAGGAAGGCAGAUGCAUGGCAGACAAUGUUAGCUUUCUCCAAUUAAAUGCAAGGUACACAAAAAGGGUAUAAAACAUUGUUUUUCAUUGAGCCAACAAGUCACUACACAUGGCCUCAGACAUGAGUCAUCUUCAAGUUGAUUUUCCAAUAUGCUUGCACAUACCUACUUUAGAAGAAAGUCACAAGAAACAAUCGGGUUUAAAUUAAUAAAGCUCGAUAGUGGAAAAUAACAAAGUCACAUAGUCGUCUUAUUAUACAAGGCAAACCGAAAUAACAAGGAUACAAAUUGUGCAGAGUACAGAGACAAGGCUCCGACAGCAGUUGAGCACAAAUAGAUAAGUAAGCCAAGAUAAAUGCAGCUGACGACGGUUAGGGCAUCUGAUGCGCACAAACCUACUCAUCUUUGUUUCCAGGAAACUAAUCAAGUAGGAAGCUAGGAUCCAACUGUGGUGGUCACUAGUUCUGUGGUGGCCUUGCCAAGGUUGAACUCGGUCGCCCCGGUGCGAAUCGCCUUCGACUUCAUGUCGGUAAUGAUGGGUUCCAACCGAGCGGCAAUGAGGUGUCUGCGACGAAUCUUCGCGGCAGAAUCCUUGACCCUCUUGGCACGCCCAGACUGCUUGCGCAGCUCGUACUCGCCCAUGUAGGUGAAGUAGGAUUCCUCCUCAAGUUGAGCUUCCAGUUCUAGCUUGUUCCUAUAUAGCUUCUCGUCUAAAAGAAGAGAUUCUAAUUCAUUUCCAGGAAACGCGCUUACGCAGCAAGGCGUGUAUGGGGAAGAUACGCCUGUCUCUCCAUAUGGUGUUCCAUACUCUUGACAUGUCCAUGAACUGCCCAAGUCCUGAAAUUUGGAGUUGAUCCAGUCAUAGGCUAGUCCUCUUGUUGGUGUAUUCAAGAAGACAACCUCUUUAUAAGGAUGAAAUCCAAGGAAACCAUAAGAUAUGUGCUCUUCAUCUUCAAUGACAUCCACAGCCUCUUCAACGACGUCUUCAGUGUCAAGAACGUUAUCCUCAUCAGAGUUCCAGUCAUAGUCAUAUUUCAUGUCCACUGAGGCU